CUUGGGCAGCGGCGGAUGAGAAGAAGGGUUCGAUUUGACGGGGAGCAGGGAGAUUAAGAUGAUGCCGUUUGGGGCAGGGAGGAGGAUCUGUCCUGCAUCGGGAUUGGCGGUGCUUCACCUGGAGUACUUUGUGGCGAAUUUGGUUUGGAAGUUUCAGUGGAGGGCUGUGGAGGGAGAUGACGUUGACCUGUCAGAGAAGACGGAGUUUACUGUGGUGAUGAAGAAUCCAUUGCAAGCCCACGUAAUCCCUAGAAUUUAAUACGUGGGAGAAUUCUGUACUAAUUUUUCGAUGUACGUUCAACCGCUAAAUCCAUCAAUGUAUAUGCUCUUCAUUGAUUAUGCAAUUUCGAAAAUUUGGAAUUUUAGUUUACUAGUGUGAUUCAAGACAGAUUUUAUAAUUUUAAUAUUUAGUGAGUGAUUUGAGUGAGCUGUAUUUGCUAUCUUCAUGUAAUUGUAAACACGCAUCGGAGAUUACGAAGUAGCUUGGGUUGAUUUUGAGGCAGGAAAGACAGAAAAUGAAAUGCUAUCUUUACAACCCCUCUCAACCCUGCCUUCACCGCAUGAAUCUAUCCUUAUUGGUGACUUAAAAAGGGCUAAUUUCAAGCAAUUUCUUUCCGACAAGGGUGUUCAGUUACCAUUUCCGUUCAUUGCUUAAUUUGUUAGAUUAUGUUUCAUCACCAAAAUUCGAUAUGUGAAAUAAUCUCACGUUCUCAACUUCUAGAUAAGGUUAAAUCUCUAUGGAACUACCAUAUAUACAACGAUUUUGAUCUGAUUUCCUUGACAUGUUGAAUUUGCUGGUGGGGCGCUGAGAUGCGGUGAAUAUGUGACAUUACGCAAAGUUGGAGAUGCAAGCCAUAAGGUUGGUCAUAUACAUAUAUGCUAAUAGUAUUUGCACCCAAAUUUUUAGCACAACAGUUGCAUAGCUAGAGUUCUGGUUUGCGGAUGGAAAGUCUAACUAGCGUAUAUAUAAUUUGAUCUUUUGUAGGGUGGUGGUUCUGGCACCCAACAAAUUGUGAUCGCAAGCCCUUAUGUCAGGAUUAUUACAAGAUUCAGGAGUAUCUCUACUCACAAUUUUGUUUGUUUUAAGACUAUCUUCAACCCUUGGGGACAAGACAAAGCUUAAAAAUUUAAGCCAGAAAAUUUGAAGUCAUAAGCCAUAAACUAUUUUUCUCUUUCAACACUUAUGGCUUAAAAUUUUAGCCCGUGAUGAUCAAAUAAUGAUAUUAGCCUAAUUUUUUGUUUUCUGUAACUUCUUUUGAAAAUAAAAUUUAUGUAGAUUAUCUUAAUUUAUUUUUAUGAACAUUUUAGUCUAAAAAUAUUUAAAUUCUCAAAUACAUAUGUAUUUAUAAAGUUCUAAGUUAAAUUUGAUUUAAAUAAUUUUCUUAAAUUAUUUUAGACGUUGGUUUAAUUUUGGGCCGUCAAAUCUUUUUUUUACUAUUAGAUUUGAUCUCAUUUGAUCGUAGCCGUUAGAUUAUAAGUAAACAACAAAAAAAUAAUUGAAAUAUAACAGUUUGGUGGAUCCAGAAUAAUUUAAACCAGGCUUAAAUCCUGGAAGUAAUCUAGCUUAGAGAUAUAUUUUCUCUCCAGGGUUUAUUUUAGCCCAUGAUUGGAGAUGAUUUGGGAGAAGUUUUAAAACUUAUGUUUUAAGCUUUAUUUUAUGAAUUGGUGAUGGUCUAAGUGAAGAGACAUAAUAUCAAACGGGUGAACUAACAUUUAAUCACGAUGUUAACUUCCAGUGAUUCCACGAAACACACUAAAGUUAUUUCAACGUAGACUUAUUUUUCUUCGAAGUUGCAAUGGUAAGACAUUUUAAGUGAAAGUGACAAUAUGUGCAGCUGAGUCAAAGCCGUGGAAACCUGAUUUCUUAUAGGACAAGGAUUGUCUGCCCUCCUAGUUGUGGUGCCCUUUCAUGCACUCUUAUUUUGUGCGGUCAUGAUUAAGCCAUGUCAAUAUUUUAUAUUUUUAUUGUUUUUUAUCUUAUUAUCUCAUUAAAAAUUAAUAUAAAAUAUUAAUAUGACUUAAGCGUGACCGCACAAAAUAAGAGAGAAUGGAAGGGCACCACAAUUAGGAGGGCAGACUGUCCUUUCUUAUAAAGUAUGGAAACUAACAAGAACUAACAAUUAAUGAGCAAACGCAGUCGCCCUCUGUCUGAUUGCUUACGAUUCACCAUGGAAACCUGGUUCCUUAUCCUCAUCGCCCUCUGCGUCUCCUUCCUCCUCAGACCCCUUCUCUCUCUAUUCCUACCCACUUCCAUCUCCAGAUCCAAUCUCCCUCCCGGGCCUCGCUUCUUCCACAUCAUCGAAGGCUUCUUAUUCCUCCUCAAAUCUACCUCGGAGCUCGAGCCUAUAAUCCGCAAACUCCAGGCCGAAUACGGGCCCAUCAUCUCCCUCCCCAUCGGCUCCCGCUCUACCGUCUUCGUCGCCGACCGCUCCCCCGCCCACCAGGCCUUAAUCCUGAACGGCGCCGUGUUCGCCGACCGCCCCCAGGCCUUGGCCACCAACAAGUGCGCCAGCAGCAACCAGCACACCAUCGCCUCCGCCGUCUACGGCCCCACGUGGCGUCUCCUCCGCCGCAAUAUCACCUCCGAAAUCCUCCACCCUUCCCGCGUUAAAUCCUACGGCAGCGCCCGCAAAUGGGUUCUCGACAUCCUCGUCAACCGCCUCAAAACCGAGUAUCAAUCCCACUCCGAAGCCGCCGCCGCCGGGGUCAGGGUGGUCGACCACUUCCAAUACGCCAUGUUCUGCCUCCUGGUUCUGAUGUGCUUCGGCGACAAAUUGAACGAAGAGCAAAUCAAAGAAAUCGAGCACGUGCAGCGCCAACUACUUUUGAGUUCCGGGCGGUUCAAUAUCCUCAAUUUCAAGCCGAAAUUGACGAAGAUUAUCUUCAAAAAUCGGUGGCGGCAAUUCUUCAAAAUCCUCGAGGAACGACGAGAAGUGCUCGUCCCUCUGAUUCGAGCACGACAAAACAGGGCAAAGCAGGGCAGCAAAACCGACGACAAGGAUGAUGAAUUUGUGUUGUCGUAUACAGAUACGCUGCUGGACCUCGAGCUUCCCGACGGCAACGAAAAGCGGAAGCUUUCGGAGGGAGAAAUGGUUAGCCUCUGCUCAGAGUUUCUGACCGCCGGCACCGACACGACUUCCACCGCGCUGCAGUGGAUCAUGGCCAACGUAGUGAAGUACCCGCAAGUUCAGGAUAAGCUGUUUGCGGAGAUUAAAGGGGUGAUGGGAGAAACGGAGGACGAGGUGCCGGAGGAGGUCCUGCACAAGCUGCCGUAUCUGAAAGCCGUGAUCUUGGAGGGGCUGAGGCGCCAUCCACCGGCGCACUUUGUGCCGCGCGCGGUGACGCAUGACGUGGUUUUGGGCGGAUACGUGGUGCCCAAGAACGGGAGUGUUAGUUUCAUGGUGGCGGAUAUAGGGUGGGACCCGCAAGUGUGGGAGGAUCCCAUGGCUUUCAAGCCGGAGAGGUUCUUGGGCAGCGGCGGAGAAGAAGGGUUCGAUUUGAGGGGGAGCAGGGAGAUUAAGAUGAUGCCGUUUGGGGCAGGGAGGAGGAUCUGUCCAGGGUCGGGAUUGGCGGUGCUUCACCUGGAGUACUUUGUGGCGAAUUUGGUGUGGAAAUUUGAGUGGAGAACUGUGGAGGGAGAUGACGUGGACCUGUCAGAGAAGCAGGAGUUUACUAUAGUGAUGAAGAAUCCAUUGCAUGCCCACGUAAUCCCUAGAAUUUAAUACGUGUGAGAAUUCUGUACUAAUUAUUCGGUGCAUAUUCAACCGUUGAAUCUAUCCAUGUAUGCUUUUCAUUGAUUAUGUAAUUUUGAAAAUUUAGAUUUUUAGUUUACUAGUCUGAUUCAAGACGGAUUUUAUAACUUCAAUAUUUAGAGAGUGAUUUGUGUGAGAUGUAUUUGCUACUUUUUAGCUUAUAACUAAUACAACUUUCAAAUCUUGGGAAGACAACUUCUGUAUUAGAGACUGCCCAAGAGCAAGGAGCAUUUGAGCAUUUGAGAAUUUGAUGGGAUUGCCUACAUAGGUACAACUCUCCUUUAAUCUUUGUGUUACAGCUUGUCUAAUGACUAAUUCGAAAUCCAAGUUACUGUAGUCUAAACAAAUUCGGUGGAGUAGUGUUUUUGUUUUUACCUUUGCAUAUAUGGAAAUGAAAGAAUAAAUAACUCUUUGAAGACAACUUCUUUCCGACAAAGGUGUUGAGGUACCAUUUCCAUUCAUUGCUUAAUUUGUUAGACUAUGCUUCAUCCCCAAAAUUCAUCAUCUGAAGUAAUCUCAAGUUUUCAACUUCAUGUUUUGAGCCCCAGAGAAAAGGUUAAGCUCUAUGGAACUACUAUAUUUACAGCGAUCUCGAUCUGAUAUGCUAAUAGUAUUAGCACCCAAGUUUUUGUUACAACAGUUGCAUUUUUGCAGAUGGAAAAUAUGACUAGUGUAUUUAUAUUUUUUAUCUUUUUUGUAGGGUGGUGGUUCCGGCACCCAACAAAUUGUGAUCGAAGGCCCCUUAUGCGAGGAUUAUUACAAGAUCUGGGAGUAUCUCUACUCACAAUUUUAUUUGCUUUAAGUAGAGAUACAUAAUGUUAAAUGCCUUCGGAUGAACUGUCAUUUAGUCGUGAUGUUAAUUUCUAGUGAUUUCAUGAAACACCCUAAAGUUUAAUUUAAAUGUAUGACUUAUUUUCCGUUGAAGUUGUGAAUUCUAUUCAUGCAUGAUGGAUCUUCGACACAAAUUGGCAGUUCAAGUAAAUCAUAUUCAAGGAAACAAAUCAUGUUUGAUGAGUUAGAGACGAACGUGUUAACUUCAAAUAGUACCAAGACAUUACAUACAUGCUAAAACUAAACAUCACAAACGAAUCACAGUUAAGCAGUUUAACCUUUUUACGUGACAAAAUAUAGUUGAGUCGGAAUAAUGAGGCAAACAUGACAAGUAAAUUGCCAUGCAUUUUAGCUUUUCAUCGAUACAAUGUUGUGUGAUUGGUUUGCGAUAUUUUGCUCCACCCAAGAGUUGGUCUCCAGGUCAACGUCAACGUUCGUCAGCAAAGGAGCUUUAUCCAUCUAUUUAUAAAAUAUGGAAAAUAACAAUUUAUUAAGCAAACUCAUUUGCCCUUUGUCUGAUUGCCAACGGUUGACCAUGGAAACCUGGUUUGGAAGUUUCAGUGGAGGGCUGUGGAGGGAGAUGACGUUGAUCUGUCAGAGAAGAUGGAGUUUACUGUGGUGAUGAAGAAUCCAUUGCAAUCGUGCAUAAUUCCUAGAACUUAAUAAGUUAGUGAAUUCUGUACUAAUUCUUCGGUGCACCGUUAAAUCCAUCCAUGUAUGCUCUUCAUUGAUUAUGUAAUUUCGAAAAUUUGGAUUUUUAGUUUACUAGUGUGAUUCAAGACCCUUAAUAAAAGGUUUAGUAUUUGAAUCUAACAGAGGACAUGACAUAUAACCAAGCGCAAUGACGUUUUAUGAUUCAUAUAGCCAACCCUACUUAGUGGAAAAAGACUUUGUUGUUGUUGUUGUUGUAGUGUGAUUCAAGACAGAUUUUAUAACUUCAAUAUUUAGUGAGUGAUUUGAGUGAGCUGUAUUUGCUAUCUUGAUGUAAUUGUAAACACGUAUCGGAGAUUAUGAAGUAGCUUGGGUUGAUUCUGAGGCAGGAAAGACAGAAAAUGAAAUGCUAUAUUUACAACCCCUCUUAACCCCGCCUCCACCGCAUGAAUCUGUCCUUGUUGGUGACUUAAAAAUGGCUACUUUCAAGCAAUUUCUUUCCGACAAGGGUGCUUAGAUACCAUUUCCGUUCAUUGCUUAAUUUGUUGGACUAUGUUUCAUCACCAAAAUUCGUUAUAUGAAAUAAUCUUUCUCAACUUCAUGUUUUGUAGCCCAUAGAUAAGGUUAAAUCUCUAUGGAACUACCAUAUAUACAACUAGGGGUGGGCACGGGCCGGGCCGGGCCCAAUUUUGAAGGGACUGGACCGGACCUGGGUUCAAAGAAAACGGGUCAAAGAUUACAUUUUUUAAUAUAGGAACCAGACCUUACCCGGCCCGGUUGAAAUGGGCCAGUUCAGGCUAGGUCCACGGGUCCCUUUUUUUUUUUUGGUUUGAAAAAAAAUAAUAAAAUUUGCACUGAUUGCAAACUGCACUGAUUGCAACUGCACAGAGUCACAGACUGCAUUUAUGCAAAUUUUGCACAAAUUCACCAUUAUUCACAUCCAAUCAAAAAUUCUAAAUACAAAGUCCAACAUUCAAGUUCAUAGAUUAACAAUACAUCCAAAAUAACAAUAUUACAUCGUCCAACAUCUAAAAAUCAAAUCAACAUACAAAUAUCCGAAAGUCCAAGGCAUCCACAAUAAAUUCCAAAUUAACAUCCAAAACCACAUCCAACGUCCAAGUUCUAACAACAAUCCUCAUUGAAUCUGUAAGCAAAAAUAGAAUAUAAACAUGACAUUUUUAACGUCUAAUAUCACAUUAUCCUCAUUGAAUCAUUGAAAUUUAAAGUUUAUUCAUUUGAGUUUAAAAUAUUACCGCAAUUCCUUUUCCUUUAUUCGUUCGAGUUGUUUGAGGAGCUUCAAUUUCAGGAACACUUGGUAAGAUGGUUGAGCUUGUAGAUAUAGUAUUUGCUCUUCUUCUUUUAUAUUCUACAACAAAGAACAAACGUUAAUUGUAAACCAAUUAAUAUAAAGUAUAAAUCAAGCUAUGCAAAACAAAAUAAUUACCUUAUUCACACUCUUGAUAAAAUUCAAGCUCAGCCGAACUUGCUUCAUACUCAAUGUUGCUAAUUGGUUCACAUCUUAACCAAUUUUGGAGGCAUAUCAAUGACUCCAAUGUUUGAGGAAGGAGAGAUGAUCUAAAAGGGUCAAUUACUCACUUUCCUCCACUAAAUGCACUUUCACUGGCAACUAUGGACACUUGAAUUGGCAAGACAUUUUUCGCUAUCAAAGCAAGUGUGGGAUAUGUGCUCCUCCCUUUCAACUUCCACCAUUUCAAAACGUCAAAUUGUGAACCAUAUGGUACUUUCUCUACAAUGUCAAGGAGAUACUUAUCCACCUCAUGUGCAAGCGCAAUAUCUUCGGUGUCUUCUAGUUCAUUCUCCCAAUCAUUUACGAUUUGACUAAAUAUCAUUAGAUUUUCUGUUGGCACACUAGAAGAUGAUUGUUUUACCCUUGAACAAGUAGUGUCAACAAGUAAAUCUUCUCUACCCUUUUGUUGUGUUAUGAACCGAAAGCUUGGUAAGCAUAUUCAUCACACAUUGCCUUCAACAAUGUCUUCACUUCAUUACUUUUCUGUUGAAUCUCUUUUUCAGGAAGCUAUAAUUGCUUUCCACACAAGUGCAUGUAGUGCCUCAAUUUGAACCUUAGGUCUAAGAUAAGGGCAACUACAAAUAUUUGAUUAAGGGAGUCAAUUGAACAAAAAUAUUUUCAAUAUUUGGCUCUCCUGCUAAAUGUCAUAUCACGUAGCACCAACUAUAUACUUUCUCCAGUUUGCAUAUAUUCAGGCAAAAAAAACUUUUCAAUCUCAUUUUCCACAACAUUGACAUCAUGAACAGCUGUAUUAGAUGUGGGAUAUUUACUUGCACUAACUUUCAAAGUUAUAAGAUAGAAGACCUUCAAAAAUUCCACAAACACUUCUACACCAUCCCAAUCUUCCUCUUUAGGUGGUCCAACCCUCCCUUUACUCGCCACUUCUUCUCCUUCAUCAUUAAGCACCUUUUCCCUAAAAUAGGCGGAGUAUAUAUUGGCUUCAUCAUCUUCGGACAUCCUUUCAAAUGCUUUUUUAAACUUUAAGCAAUAUUCUAGCAUCAUGUAUGUGCUAUUCCAUCUAGUAGGCACAUCCAUAACAACUAGACCCAUACUAUCCAACUUCUCAUUCUCCACAUAUUUCUUGAAAUAACUAAACCUUUGGGGACUUGAUCUCACAAACCGCACAACAUUUCUAAGAACAUCCACACUUGUAUCUAAUCUUUUCAACCAAGUUGAUAAUAUGAGCUAAGCACCUCACAUGCAUAAACUUGCCAUUCAUAAUAAUUUUACUAUUAUGCCAUUUCUGCAUUUUACGAACAAUAUACUCAAUUGCCACCUUAUUAGCCGAUGCAUUGUCAACUGAAAUACACAUUACCUUUUCAAUCUCCCACUCAACCAAACAUUGCUCAAUCAUCUUCCCUAUUUCUUUGCCUUCAUGACUUGAAAUCAAACAAAAUUUUAGAAUCAUUUUGUGCAUAUUCCAUUCAUCAUCUACAAAAUGAGCAGUUAGCACCAUGUAGUUCAAAUUUUACACACUUGUCCAUGUAUCAGUAGUCAAGCUCACUCUAUGAUUGUGUAUCUCCCUUUUUAAAUAAUCUUUCAUGGUAUCAUACAUAUUGAAUAACUCCCUCACGAUGGUUCUCCGAGAUGGAACAUGCAAUCUAAGCUGGACUUUGCACAUCAUCCGCCUAAACCCUUCACUCUCCACAACACUAAAAUGUACCUCCUCGAUCACAAUAUACUCAAUAAUACCUUCCACACUUUCUUCUUGGCUCCACCCUUUAGCAACAAGCAUGUUUUUGACAUCCCCCAAAAGGUUCAGAACUGCCUAGAACCUUUUGCAACUCAUUAGUUGGUUUAAAUAACUUGCAAUGUUUAUUGAUAUGUUCAAUGUAAGUACUAGUUCCACCCCCACUAGUAUCACAUGCAAAAAGGGUGUUACAAUAGUUACACUUAGCCUUCAAUACUUGUACCUCCACCAUAUCUUUCUUUCCAUCCUUUUCUACUUCUUGUAUUUCCGAGACGGUACACUUAGUGACAUGAUCCCAAACCCAAGAUCUCUCAGAAGAAGAUCUCUCUAGUGAAGCUAUUAUAGUUGGUUGUUUUGUCUUUAGAAUAUGUGGUGCUUUUCUUUUUCUGGAGGAUGAGGGGUUUGGGGGAGGCAUUGAUGAUUUUGCCUAUGUGGGUUGUGCUUGUGGAAGACAUGGUGAUGUAGCCGUAGAUGAUGCUACAUUAGUAGUAAGGGUACUUUGACUUUGAGAUUGAGACAUUAUGUAAAAAUCUGUAAAAAUUAAAUAAUGGAAGUAUAUUCAUUAAUCAAAUAAAGCUAUUUCGAAAUAUGUACACCAAUUUCAUGAAAUUACCACAAAAUACUAAUCAUCUCAAGAAACCAUUAAAACUUCAGAGUUCAGAUCACGAAUAAAACCAACUACUAAAUCCAUCCCCAUUAAGAGAAAGAAACUAAAUGAAACCAAAUGAAAACAAGAGAAAGACGUGCUCAAUGAAAACAAAGAGAAACCAAAUGAAAGACGUGCUAAAUAAAUCCAUCCCCAUUAAUACUCGAUAUGAAACCAAAUGAAAAUAGGAGAAAGAAACUAUAUGCUAAAAAGAGGAAGAGAGCAAUUUUGAAUCAUGCUAAAUUUGACUUACAUUAGCAAUAUUUUAAAGAAGGGGUGUGAUAUCCACACACCAUUUUUUACUUCUCUCACACCUUUUUGCUUUUUGGCCGUCGGAUCGGAUGAAUUAAAGAAGAUCAACGGACAGAAAUUAACAAGGGUGUGUGAGAAGUAAAAAUGGGUGUGUGAAUAGCACACCCCUUUAAAGAAAAACUAGUUUAAAAAAAAAGUGCAGAUAUAUUAACUAUUAAGUACUUACAUUUGUUGGGUUCCAAAGAAAAGACUAGUGCUUUCUUCCAAUCAAAAGAGUAGCCCCACUUCUCUGGUUCACUUACCUGCAGAAUGAUUAGGAAUAAUUAGGAAUAAGGAGAGAAUCAAACUAUAAGUUCACACACAUUCCCAUAUACUACAGAAACCAAAAUCAUACUAAAUUUGUUUGAGAAGACAUAAACCAAAUCAGAGGCUGUUAUGCUUCUAAAAGAACAUAUGAGCACUCCUAAUGCAAAACAACAUCAAAUGGUCCUUGAUCUGAAAGUGGCUUGUUGACAUCAAUUGUAAUGAAGAAGAUUCCUUUAUUCUUGCAAUGAAGAACAUCCCCUUACAACAAUCUGUAUUAGAGAACCUGUUUAAUGUGCUAAACCUAAAGACAAUAAGAGCACAGCCCCCAAUUACUCAGAAAUUACAAGGAAACAAGGUUGACAUCAGAGGCAACAAAGAAGUAAGCCUACAAGACUAAAAGGAAACAAACAGCCUAGCCUGCAAAGAUUCAGAGAAGUCUGGACACAAAGCCAGGAAUAAUUAGCACUUUAACCCUGCAGAUUAUGAUUGACGAGUGACAACCCAUCUUUGUUUACUUUUACUUUUGUUUGUUGGAUUAGCUAGCACUUUAACAUUCAACAGAAACUAGUAUGUAAAACUUUAAUGUGUUGUUCAUCUGCUACACAUUAGGUUAAUUAAUUUGUGUGUGGGUGUAUGAGUGUCACCCUUCAAAUUCAUGCAGUAAUUGCCAUGGCACUAGUGCCACUGCAGCUAGGCCUUGUCCUCCACCUCCAAUAUAUAUUGAAUUAAUUGCACUUUCAUCCAAGUACCCAUACAUCACUCCAUACAAAAUAAAAACAAAGACUUGUCACAAUAUCACUAAUGCCGGCUUGGUUCUUAAUGUUAUGUUGUAUUUUUAAAUCCAUUUGUAAUUAUAUCGGUCCGUGAAACAAUAAUAUAAAUUGACCAAAUUAAAAUACAGACCAUUGCCAAUGUAUUAUGAAUUAAUUGCGCUUUCAUCAUCCAACAACUCAUACAUUAUUCAAUGAAUAAAAUAAAUAUAUUAAUAAAGAGGAUAAGAUUGAAUAAUAAUAAACAACACUACGAACACGUAUGAUUGAAAGUUGUACUUUUAAACACAUUUGCAAUUUCAUCGGUAGUAUAUAGAAAGAGGGGAAACUUAGUGAACUUAAAACAUGUUUGAAUACUAAGUGAACUAAAGCAGAACAAAUCCCUAAAAAUUGCUUAAGUUCAAAUGGGUUUUCUAUCCGAAAAUCAAAUCUAAUUUCCAAAACAGAUCAAUAUAAGAACAUCUAAAAUUGAAUUGUAUCAUCAUCAACCAAAUCUACACCGGCCAUUGGUGAAACCAAACUCAUACAAUCACCAAAUCACGAACUUUUUGAGAUGCAAUCGAAACACAAAUUGACAACUGUGAACGAUAAGAACUAAGAAGAACUUGACUACAUUGAAUCUGAGAUGACAACUGAGAUUGGAACAUUAGAAAAAACAAACUAAAACUCACCAGAGACAUGGCUGUUCCAGAAAAACGUUUUGCUUAGACUUAGAUCUGAAAUAUGCAAAGCCAAAAAAAACCCAAACUUUGUUAUCAGUGAUUCAGUAUUACAGUGGAAAAAAAAAUGGUAGAUGCAAAAAGAAGAACCCUAAAUGGUGGCAACAGAUCAAUCAUCAAUCUACAAAUGCAAUUCAAAUAUAAAUGACACUGAAUUACAUGGAUUAAACAAGAAUUACAAUCCUACAAAUAAAUGACACUAAAUUUGCCAUGAAAAGUGAAGCUCCACAAUAGGUAAUAACCCAUGGAAAAUCAAAAGAGCAUGUUUGACAGAGAUGCAACUGAAAAUCUAAAACCCAAAUCACUUCCACAGAACCUGAGACCAUGCUUGCAUGCAUCAAUCAAAUCCAAAUGACACGUGGGAAGAUAGUCGACAUUGCCUCGCAUCUACGAGACCCAAAACACAACUUCCCUUCUCCCAUUUGUUCACAAGUGCUCAUAUGGUUUCUAUUCUAUUUUGCGCAAGUAAUAACCCAAAAUUUGUUAUAAGUGAUUCAGUAUUACAGUGGAAAACAAUUGGUAUAUGCGAAGAGAAAAACCCUAAAUGGUGGCAACACAUCAAUCAUCAAUCUACAAAUGCAAUUCAAAUUUUAAGAAAACCCUAAAUGGUGGCAACAGGAUUCAAUCAUCAAUCUACAAAUUCUAACUUAAAACCCCUAAAAUCCCUACACCAGAUAUUCACAAUUUCACAUUAAUAAUAAAACCUAAUUCAAAAUUACCUAAAUUUUAAAGGGAUGAUGGUUGGUAGUGGUACUGGACCACUGGUGGUAGCAGUGUUCGUCGACGGUGGUGAUGGGGUGAUGGUGGUCGCGACGGCGGAUGUGGUACCAUUGUGUUGGUAGCGACGACGCUGUGAGAGUGUGAGAGUUGAAGCUCGAUAGUGGUGAUGGGGUGAUGGGGUGAUGGUGGUUGUGACGGCGGAAGUGGUGCUGUUGUGUUGGUCCCGACGACGUUAAGCAAUGUAAGUGAGAGUCUGAGAGUUGGAGUCGAGGGAAGGGACAGGGAAUGAGUCGAGUCGAGGGAGGGAGAUAUUCUGAGAGACUGAGGGUGAUUCUAGAACUCGGGAGGUGGAAUUGGCUAAAGUAGCCCCGCUUCUCUGGUUCACUUACAUGCAUAAUGAUUAGGAAUAAUUAGGAAUAAGGAGAGAAACAAACUAUAAGUUUACACACAUUCCCGUAUACUACAUAAACCAAAGCCAUGCUAAAUUUGUCGGAGAAGACAGAAACCAAAUCAAAGGUUGUUAUGCUUCUAAAAGAACAUAUGAGCACUCACCUUAUGCAAAACAACAUCAAAUGGUCCUUGAUCUGAAUGUGGCUUGUUUACAUCAAUUGCAAUGAAGAAGAUCCCCUUAUUCCUGCAAUAAAGAAGAUCCCCUUCUAACAAUCUGUAUUAGCAAACCUGUUUAAUGUGCUAAACCUAAAGACAACAAGAGCAGAGCCCCCAAUUAUUGAGAAAUUGCAAGGAAACAAGGUCGACAGUAAAGGCAACAAAGCAGUAAGCCUACAAGACUAAAAGGAAACAAACAGCCUAGCCUGCAAAAAUUCAGAUAAGUCUGGACGCAGAGCCAAGAAUAAUUAGCACUUUAACUUUUGUUUGUGGGAUUAGCUAGCACUUUAACAUUCAACACAAACUAGUAUGAAAAACUUUAAUGUGCAGUUCAUCUGCUACACAUUAAGUUAAUUAAUCUGUGUGUGGGUGUGUGAGUGUCACCCUUCAAAUUCAUGCAGUAUGAGGGGGAAUUCCCACGGCAUUAGUGCCACUGCAGCUAGGCCUUGUCCUCCACCUCCAAUAUAUAUUGAAUUAAUUCCACCUUCAUCCAAGUACCCAUACACCACUCCAUACAAAAUAAAAACAAAGACUUGUCACAAUAUCACUAAUGCCGGCUUGGUUCUUAACGUUAUGUUGUAUUUUUAAAUCCAUUUGUAAUUAUAUCCGUCCGUGAAACAAUAAUAUAAAUUGAUCAAAUUAAAAUACAGACCAUUGCCAAUAUAUUAUGAAUUAAUUGCGCUUUCAUCAUCCAACAACUCAUACAUUAUUCCAUAAAUAAAAUAAAUAUAUUAAUAAAGAGGAGAAGAUGGAAUAAUAAUAAACAACACAACAAACACGUAUGAUUGAAAGUUGUACUUUUUAAACACAUUUACCAUUUCAUCGGUAGUAUAUAGAAAGAGGGGAAACUUAGUGAACUUAAAACAUGUUUGAAUACUAAGUGAACUAAAGCAUAACAAAUCCCUAAAAAUUGCUUAAUUUCAAAUGGGUUUUCUAUCCGAAUCAAAUCUAAUUUCCAAAACAGAUCAAUAUAAGAACAUCUAAAAUUGAAUUGUAUCAUCAUCAACCACAUCUACACCGGCCAUUGGUGAAACCAAACGCUUACAAUCACCGAAUUACGAACUUUUUGAGAUGCAAUAGAAACACAAAUUGACAACUGUGAAUGAUAAGAACUAAGAAGAACUGGACUACAUUGAAUCAGAGACGACAACUGAGAUUGGUACAUUAGAAGAAACAAACUAAAACUCACCAGAGACAUGGUUGUUCCAGAAAAACGUUUCGCUUAGACUUAAAUCUGAAAUACGCAAAGCCAAAAAAAAACCCAAACUUUGUUAUCAGUGAUUCAGUAUUACAGUGGAAAAAAAUUGGUAGAUGCGAAGAGAAUAACCCUAAAUGGUGCAACAGAUCAAUCAUCAAUCUACAAAUGCAAUUCAAAUAUAAAUGACACUGAAUUACAUGGAUUAAACAAGAAUUACAAUUUUACAAAUAUAAAUGACACUGAAUAUGCCAUGAAAAGUUAGGCUCCACAACAGGUAAUAACCCAUGGAAAUUCAAAACAAGCAUGUUCGACAAAGAUGCAACUGAAAAUCUAAAACCCGAAUCACUUCCACAGAACCUGAGACCAUGCUUGCGCGCAUCAAUCAAAUCCAAAUGACACGUGGGAAGAUAGUCGACAUUGCCUCGCAUCUACUAGACCCAAAACACAACUUCCCUUAUCCUCUUUGUUCACGAGUGCUCAUACGGUUUCUAUUCUAUUUUGCGCAGGUAAUAACCUAAAAUUUGUUAUCAGUGAUUCAGUAUUACAAUGGAAAAAAAUUGGUAGAUGCGAAGAGAAGAACCCUAAAUGGUGGCAACACAUCAAUCAUCAAUCUACAAAUGCAAUUCAAAUUUUAAGAAAACCCUAAAUGGUGGCAACAGGAUUCAAUCAUCAAUCUACAAAUUCUAACUUAAAACCCCUAAAAUCCCUACACCAGAUAUUCACAAAUUCACAUUAAUAAUAAAACCUAAUUCAAAAUUACCUAAAUUUUAGAGGGAUGAUGGUUGGUAGUGGUACUGGACCACUGGUGGUAGCAGUGUUCCUCGACGGUGGUGAUAGGGUGAUGGUGGUUGCAACGACGGAGGUGAUGCCAUUGUGUUGGUAGCGACGGCGCUGUGAGAGUCUAAGAGUUGGAGCUCGAUGGUGGCUACGACGGCGGAGGUGGUGCUGUUGUAUUGGUCCUGACGGCAUUAAACACUGUGAGUGAGAGUCUGAGAGUUGGAGUCGAGGGAAGGGACAUGGAGGGAGUCGAGUCGAGGGAAUGAGAGAUUCUGAGAGACUGAGGGUGAUUCUGGAACUCGGGAGGUGGAAUUGGCUAGGGUUGAAACUAACUGUUGAGAUUGGAUGGAGAUAUGAUAUUUUAAAUCUCGUCUGUCCAUUGUAAUUACAAACAGGCCGGUCCGGGUUCUCGCAUUUCUUAUACUUUUAGAACUGGCCCAAACUGAAAACUUCAAAGGCCAGGCCCGGCCCGCCUCGUAUCGUUCUGUUUUUACAAAAUUAGGAACUGGUCCGUACCCGCCCCGACCAGCAAUUCCUGUACCCAUUUGCCCACCCCUUUAUACAACGAUCUUGAUCUGAUUUCUUUGACAUGUUGAAUUUGCUGGUGGGGCGUUGAGAUGCGGUGAAUAUGUGACAUUACGCAAAGCUGGAGAUGCAAGCCAUAAGGUUGGUCAUAUACAGAUAUGCUAAUAGUACUAGCACCUAAAUUUUGGGCACAAUAGUUCCAUAGCAAGAGUUAUGGUUUGCGAAUGGAAAGUCUGACAAGCGUAUGUAUAAUUUGAUCUUUUGUAGGGUGGGGGUUCCGGCACCCAACGAAUUGUGAUCAAAGACCCCUUAUGUGAGGAUUGUUACAAGAUUCGGGAGUAUCUCUACUCACAAUUUUAUUUGCUUUAAGAUCAUCUCCAAUCCUUGGGGAUAAAGCUUAAAAUUUUAAGCCAUAAGUCAGAAUCUGAUUUUCCUUUACAACCCUUAUGGCUUAAAAUUUUAGAUGAUCAAAUAAUGAUUUUAGCCUAACUUUUUGUUUUUGGUAACUUUUUUUGAAAAUAAAAUUUAUGUAGAUUAUCUUAAUUUAUUUUUAUGAACAUUUUAGUCUAAAAAUAUUUAAAUUCUGAUAAGUAAUUAAAAAUCAUACAAAUACAUAGGUGUUUAUAAAGUUUUAAGUUAAAUUUGAUUUAAAUAAUUUUCUUAAUUUUGGGCCGUCAAAUCUUUUUUUUUACUAUUAGAUUUGAUCUCAUUUCAUCGUAGCAGUUAGAUUAUAAGUAAAAAAACAAAAAAAAGUUUGAAAUAUAACAAUUUGGUGGGUUCAAAAUAAUUUAAGCCAGGCUUAAAUCCCGGGAGGAAUUUAGCUUAGAGAUAUAUUUUCUCUCCCGGACUUAUUUUAACCCAUGAUUGGAAAUGGUUUGGGAGGGUUUUUAAAACUUAUAUUUUAAGCUUUAUUUCAUGAGUUGGUGAUGGUCUAAGGGGAGAGACAUAAUAUCUAACGCUUUCGGAUGAACUAACAUUUAAUCGCGAUAUUAACUUCUAGUGAUUCGAGGAAACACACUAAAGUUUAAUUUCAAUGCAGGCCUUAUUUUUGGACCCGGUUUCUCUGCCCUCCCAAUUCCCAUACACUCUCAUCUCUUCCUAUUUUGUGCAAUCACGCUUAAGCCACAUCAACAUUUUAUAUUGAUUUUUUUAUAGAGAUAAUAAGACAAAAAAUAAUAGUGAUAUAAAAUAUUAACGUGACUUAACUGUAAUCGCAUAAAUAGGAGGAGACGAGAGCGUAUAGGGCUAGGAGGGCAGUGUCAUGGUCAGACAUUUUAAGUGAAAGUGACAAUAUGUGCAGCUGAGUCAAUGCAUUGGAAACCUGGUUCCUCAUCAAUAUGCUUAUAAAGUAUGGAAACUAAUAAUUGUUGAGCAAACGCAGUUGCUCUUUGUCUGAUUGCUUACGAUUCACCAUGGAAACCUGGUUCCUUAUCCUCAUCGCCCUCUGCGUCUCCUUCCUCCUCAAACCCCUUCUCUCUCUAUUCCUACCCACUUCCAUCUCCAGACCCAAUCUCCCUCCCGGGCCUCGCUUCUUCCACAUCAUCGAAGGCUUCUUAUUCCUCCUCAAAUCUUCCUUGGAGCUCGAGCCUAUUAUCCGCAAACUCCAGGCCGAAUACGGGCCCAUCAUCUCCCUCCCCAUCGGCUCCCGCUCUACCGUCUUCGUCGCCGAUCGCUCCCUCGCCCACCAGGCCUUAAUCCAGAACGGAGCCGUGUUCGCCGACCGCCCCCUGGCCUUGGCCACCAACAAGUGCGUCAGCAGCAACCAGCACACUAUCGGCUCCGCCGUCUACGGCCCCUUGUGGCGCCUCCUACGCCGCAACCUCACCUCUGAAAUCCUUCACCCUUCCCGCGUCAAAUCCUACGGCAACGCCCGCAAAUGGGUUCUCGACAUCCUCGUCAACCGCCUCAAAACCGAGUCUCAAUCCCACUCCGAAGCUGCCGCCACCGGAGUCAGGGUGGUCGACCACUUCCAAUACGCCAUGUUCUGCCUCCUGGUUCUGAUGUGCUUCGGCGACAAAUUGAACGAAGAGCAAAUCAAAGAAAUCAAGCGCGUGCAGCGCCAACUACUUUUGAGUUUCGGGCGGUUCAAUAUCCUCAAUUUCAAGCCGAAAUUGACGAAGAUUAUCUUCAAAAAUCGGUGGCGGCAAUUAUUUAAAAUCCUCGAGGAACGACGAGAAGUGCUCCUCCCUCUGAUUCGAGCACGACAAAAUAGGGCAAAGCAGGGCAGCAAAACCGACGACAAAGAUGAUGAAUUUGUGUUGUCGUAUACAGAUACGCUGCUGGACCUCGAGCUUCCCGACGGCAACGAAAAGCGGAAGCUUUCGGAGGGAGAAAUGGUCAGCCAAUGCUCAGAGUUUCUGGAUGCCGGCACCGACACGACUUCCACCGCGCUGCAGUGGAUCAUGGCCAACGUAGUGAAGUACCCGCAAGUUCAGGAGAAGCUGUUUGCCGAGAUUAAAGGGGUGAUGGGAGAAACGGAGGACGAGGUGCGGGAGGAGGUCCUGCACAAGCUGCCGUAUCUGAAAGCCGUGAUCUUGGAGGGGCUGAGGCGCCACCCGCCGGCGCACUUUGUGCCGCGCGCGGUGACGCAUGACGUGGAUUUGGGCGGACACGUGGUGCCCAAGAACGGGAGUGUUAGUUUCAUGCUGGCGAGUAUAGGGUGGGACCCGCAAGUGUGGGAGGACCCCAUGGCGUUCAAGCCGGAGAGGUUCUUGGGCAGCAGUGGAGGAGAAGAAGGGUUCGAUUUGAGGGGGAGCAGGGAGAUUAAGAUGAUGCCGUUUGGGGCAGGGAGGAGGAUCUGUCCAGGGUCGGGAUUGGCGGUGCUUCACCUGGAGUACUUUGUGGCGAAUUUGGUGUGGAAAUUUGAGUGGAGAACUGUGGAGGGAGAUGACGUGGACCUGUCAGAGAAGCAGGAGUUUACUAUAGUGAUGAAGAAUCCAUUGCAUGCCCACGUAAUCCCUAGAAUUUAAUACGUGUGAGAAUUCUGUACUAAUUAUUCGGUGCAUAUUCAACCGUUGAAUCUAUCCAUGUAUGCUUUUCAUUGAUUAUGUAAUUUUGAAAAUUUAGAUUUUUAGUUUACUAGUCUGAUUCAAGACGGAUUUUAUAACUUCAAUAUUUAGAGAGUGAUUUGAGUGAGCUGUAUUUGCUACUUUUUAGCUUAUAACUAAUACAACUUUCAAAUCUUGGGAAGACAACUUCUGCAUUUAGAGACUGCCCAAGAGCAAGGAGCAUUUGAGAAAUUGAUGGGAUUGCCUACAUAGGUACAACUCUCCUUUAAUCUUUGUGUUACAGCUUGUCUAAUGACUAAUUCGAAAUCCAAGUUACCGUGGUUUGAACAAAUUCGAUGGAGUAGUGUUUUUAUUUUUACCUUCGUAUAUAUGGAAAUGAAAGAAUAAACAACUCUUUGAAGACAACUUCUUUCCGACAAAGGUGUUCAAUUACCAUUUCCGUUCAUUGCUUAAUUUGUUAGACUAUGCUUCGUCCCUAAAAUUCGUCAUCUGAAGUAAUCUCAAGUUUUCAACAUCAUGUUUUGAGCCCCAGAGAUAAGGUUAAGCUCUAUGGAACUACUAUAUUUACAGCGAUCUCGAUCUGAUAUGCUAAGGGUGCGUUUGUUGCGCCGGACUGUCUCGGAUUGGACUAGCUGCCGGGACUAAGCUGGACUGGCUUAGACUGGACUAAGCUGGACUAACUUAGUGAAGCGUUUGGUGUAAUGUCGGACUAAGAAGCAGGAUAAGAAAAACAGUACUGUUCACCAGAUUUGUGUUUGCUUAGACUAGGAUUACAAAUUUUUGCCAUUGUGUAAUAGAGUAAUGCUACAAAUCUCAUGAUAUGGGUUAAUUGGAGCAUAUUUUUGCCAUGUAUAUUAUGAAUCUUAAAAAAAAAUUGACAAUUGUUUUGUUUCUAUUACCUGCUAAUAGAAUUGGGUUUAAUUUGCAAAUGUAGCUUGGUUUAAACUCUAUCACCCAACAGAAGAAAAAUAAUAGUGCCCAAUACAUGCAACUUCAACAAAUACAAGUACAUAAGAAGAUCUCCAUAAUUUAGAAAAUCCUAGUUAACAUUAGCCAAAAUAGAUCUCCAUAAUUUACAAAAUGGCUAGUUAACAUAAGCCAAAAUACUAGUGCAAAGCUAAGUUAUAAGCCAUAACAUAAGAUUGUAUGAUUAAUAAAAUACAUCCAUGUUAACAUUAAUAAAAUACAUCCAUGUUAACAUUAGCCAAAAUCCUCAUCCGCUUGCGUUGUCGCUUAAAAGCCUUUGGACGAACACUUUCUUGAGUUCCGGUUUGAUUGCCCUGAACACUCCCACAUUUUUUGGUUUAUCCAAAAUAAGAGACAAUGCAUCAAUUUGAUCCAUAGGAGAGAGACCCAUUGCUUCAAGUUCAUUAGCUAUGUCAGUAUGAUCUGCAGUACCUUGAACUAAAGCUUCAGUUACCAUUUGCAUCCUCUUCCCACUUUCAACAUAAAAAUCUUUCAGUCCACUGAUAAUUGCCUCGGUUCCAUCACUUGAACUUCCCACAGCUCUUUUCCUCUUUCUUUGGCUAUUUUCAGAUGGGGUGCUUUGUUGGCUUUUGUUGGUUCAUUGAAGAAACAAAAUUUUCACCUCCAAUAUCACUUUCACCAACAUGAUCAUAACUUUGUUCCUCCACCAUUUGAGCAGGGGUUUCGGCUACAUUACCCGUAGCCCGAUCUUUUCCAAAUAUAUAUGCAAAUCUAUCAAACAGUGGAAAAGGUUUGCUUCUCCAUCCAUCGGCUUCUUUAUUUCUCUAAGAUUAUAUCAACAUAGCAAAACUAAAAUUUAGCAUGCGUAACAAAUAUAGCAGCAAUAAUAUAACUAAUGUAUAAAUAAAAUAGGAUAUGAACCUGCACAUAAGUUUGCCAUGAGUCAUCACUGUCAACUUCAACGCACUUUUUGACAUCAUUCCAUGCAAAUCCACUUGUGUUUAUCAUGUCAACGACCAUACUAUAUGUUUUUUUUUCCAUUUCUUCAACUUGGACUCAAUAUGUAGAUUUGCCUUUAUAUUUGAAUGAGGACAUAAAACAUUGACAGCUUUUGCUAUUUCAACCAAAGUACCUUGUUUGAAAGCACCGGUGUCACACCGUUGCUUCCGAGCAACAAAAUCCUCAAGAACUCCUAGUAAUACUUCUUCCUCAAAUGCUUCCCAUUUACGCCUUCUUCCUUUUGGCUCUUGAGUAGCAUUCAAAAUAUUUUCGUUAUCCAUACCUAAACAAAAAAUAUUUUAAUGAAGGAAAAUACCAUACAAAUAAUCAAUCUGCAUAAUAUCCAAUCAACUUACAUAAUAUCCAAUCAACUUGCAUAAUAUCCAAUUAAUUUGCAUACCAUCCAAUCAUUGUGCUAAUAUCUAACAAAUGCAUGAUAAAAAGGAAUACUAAAAUAAAAUGUUAUCAUUAACACAUAUAGCUAGUUCGGUUGCUGGUUCCUAAUUGCUCUCCACUCGUUAUACAUUUCCUGAGCCAUAUCAUUCCUCUUUGCAGUCCACUGGUCAGAUGUUUGAACACUACCAACAUAUUCACCUUCUUCUGUAUUUUGUCCAUCUUCUAUUAUUGGCAAAUUCUCCAUUGGAUCUACAGACAUCUCUUGCCUAAUAAGAUUGUGUAGUAGGCAACAAGCGGUAAUUAUUCGACCUUGUGUCCUUAUCGGAUAGAAAGAUGGACUCCUUAGUAUCGACCACCUUCCUUUUAGCAAGCCAAAACAGCGUUCAAUUACAUUCCUUGCCUUAGAAUGAUUCAUGUUAAAAUAUUCUUCCUUAUUAGAAGGUGUUCGUCCCUCCCAUUCAGAUAAAUGAUAAGGUAUUCCUCUAUAGGGUGCAAGGAAUCCUUCACCAUUUGUAUAACCACCAUCUACAAGGUAAUAAUAACCUAAUGAAAAAAAAAACAGACCUUAUUAGUGUUUUGUAGUUGACAAACAGAACUAGACCUAACUUACAAAGUUGAGACUAAGUAAUAGUCUUACCCGCUGGUACCUUAAAACCAUUAGGCAUAGUAAUUGCAUCAUGUAGCACUCUAGAGUCUGAUGCGGAACCCUCCCACCCCAGAAACACAUAUAUGAACUGCAUAUCUCCUGAACACACACCUAACACAUUAGUUGCGACUCGACCCUUUCUUGUUCGGUAUCUUGGUUUGUCAAUUUCAGGUACAUGCACAUCAAUGUGUGUUCCAUCCAAUGCUCCCAAACAAUUCUUAAAAAAAAAAAAAAAAAAAAAAAGUUUUUGUUAAUUUAUACAAAGGGAAUGAAGAGUUAAAGCUUAGGGAAAAUGAAAAAAAAUUCUCAUCAUACCUUAAAACAUCGCCACCUAGGAUCUGUAGAAUCAAUAGGCACAGGCUGUGGGACUUUCAGUAGGAUACCUUGUAAUCGCAAAAUUCCUUGCAAUACGCUAUUAAAAUACCUACUUAUAGUCUCUCCCGACCUAUAAAAUCUACCGCCAACACUACGAUUCUUAGUAUGAUGUGCUAAUAUUUGUAAAGUCAUACACACCUGCUCCUCUACAGACACCAAACCAUCAGUUUUUACCCUCACAUCUUGACGAAGUAAGUCACAUAAUAUGUCAAAAGUCCUUCUAUCCAUUCUCAAUUCGUUGACACAUUCAGUAUCAGUAUUCCCUAUUAUACCAUUCAGAUAACACAAACUAAUCUCUCGUCUAAUAAGUGAACGGUUAGUCAAUGUGGGUCGUUCAACAUGUCUCUGUUUGCCACGUAGCAUCAUCAACACAAGAAUCGUACAAAUGCAAAUUGUCUCCAAAUAAGACAUCUCUAACAAUAAGAUCAAUAAAAGCUUCCUUCGAUCCAUAUCUAUCCAAACAAAAAAAAAAACAAAAAACAAAUUAAGGACAUUAUAUAUGUAAUAUUUACUGUUAUUAAGGGUGAUGGAAAUGAAGUGAUUAUGAUACGAAAUGAACUAGAUCAAAGUAACUAGCGAAGUCACAAUCCGAGGCAUCAAAUAUACGGGUGGUGUUGGAAAAAAAAAGCUAUCAUUAACCCGAGGCAACAAAUAUACAGGUGGCGUUGAAAAAAAAAAUUAUCAUUAACCCGAGGCAACAAAUAUACAGGUGGCGUUGAAAAAAAAAAAGUUAUCAUUAACCCGAAGCAUCAUAUUCAAAAUGUUCUACUCUUAUACAUCUAUAAACAUGUGUCUAAGAACACUAGUAUGAGGAUUGCUAUCAUUGCUAGGCAUUGCAUAUGAAGAGGGAAAUUAAAGGACACCUGUAAUGCAGUAGCCUUAGCCUUAGCCUUCUGUUUAUGCUCCUCUUCUCUGCAACCAACAACCACAAAAAAUUGCAAUUCAGCAUCAACCCCACACAAUACAAAACAUUCACAUUGUAAUAUCAUGGUUAUAAACCAAGUACACACACACACACUCAUGGACAAAUGUGCAAAAUACACAUACAUACUCACACUCACACUCACACUAACACACACACACGAACAUACACACUCUCACACACGGACAUACACUCACACACACUCAUGGACAAAUGUGCAAAAUACACAUACAUACUCACACUCACACUCACACUAACACACACACAUGGACAUACACACUCUCACACACGGACAUACACUCACACACACCCUGCAUACAUACAUACACACACACACACACACACUGCAUACAUACAUACACACACACACACACACUGCAUAUAUACAUACACACACACACACAUACUCACACUGCAUACACACACACACACACACUGCAUACAUAGACACACACACACACUGCAUACAUACACACACACACACACACACACACACACACACACUGCAUACAUACACACACACACACACGGCAUACAUACACACACACACACACACACUGCAUACAUACACACACACACACACACUGCAUACAUACACACACACACACACUGCAUACACACACACACUGCAUACACACACACAAACAUACUCACACGGACAUACACACUCUUACACACGGACAUACACUCACACACACCCUGCAUACAUACAUACAUACACACACACACACACUGCAUACAUACAUACACACACACACACUGCAUACAUAGACACACACACACACACUGCAUACAUAGACACACACACACACUGUAUACACACACACACACACACUGCAUACAUACACACACACACACACACACUGCAUACAUACACACACACACACACACGGCAUACAUACACACACACACACACACACUGCAUACAUACACACACACACACACACGGCAUACAUACACACACACACACACACACACACUGCAUACAUACACACACACACACACUGCAUACAUACACACACACACACACACUGCAUACAUACACACACACACACUGCAUACAUACACACACACACACACACUGCAUACAUACACACACACACACACACUGCAUACAUACAUACACACACACACACACACACGGCAUACAUACACACACACACACACUGGUCAGCUGCACACACUGCACUCACACAGACAUACACACUCUCACACACGGACAUACACUCACACACACACUGCAUACAUACACACACACACACACACUGCAUACAUACACACACACACACACACUGCAUACAUACACACACACACACACACUGCAUACACACACACACACACACACACACACUGCAUACAUAGACACACACACACACUGCAUACAUACACACACACACACAUUGCAUACAUACAUACACACACACGGCAUACAUACACACACACACACUGCAUACACACACACACACAUACACUGCAUACAUAGACACACACAUACACUGCAUACAUACACACACACACACACUGCAUACAUACACACACACACACACACACUGCAUACAUUCACACACACACACACACACGGCAUACAUACACACACACACACACUGCAUACAUACACACACACACACACACUGCAUACAUACACACACACACACACACACACACACACACACACACACACACACACACUGCAUACAUACACACACACACAUUGCAUACAUACACACACACACACACUGCAUACAUACACACACACACACACUGCAUACACACACACACUGCAUACACACUCACACACAUACACACUCUCACACACGGACAUACACUCUCACACACUGACAUACACUCACACCCUGCAUACAUACACACACACACUGCAUACACACACACACACUGCAUACACACACACACACACACUGCAUACACACUCACACACAUACUCACACGGACAUACACACUCUCACACACGGACAUACACUCACACACACCCUGCAUACAUACAUACAUACACACACACACACACUGCAUACAUACAUACAUACACACACACACACUGCAUACAUACACACACACACACACACACAGAUUACACACACACACACAGAGUAUACACAAACAGAGAUUACACGCACACAUAGAGUAUACACACACACACAGACAAACCAGAGUACACACACACAUAGUAUACACACACAUGCACACACACACAGACACACACAGAGAUUACACACACAGAUUCUAAUCUCAAUUUGACCUAAAAAUUGAUUUUGAAGUUUACCAGAAAAGUUGAAAUACGAAAACCCCAAAUUCUAAUCUGAAUUUGAACUAAAAAUAUGAAAACCCCAAAUUCUAAUCUCAAUUCGACGAAAUCAAUCGAAGAUUUGAAGCUUACCAGACUGUCUCCGACCAGAUGAGGGCGAGAAUACGCAGAGAUGAGGGUGAGGAUGACGACGACGAGGAAGCAGGGCAAGGUCGACGACGAGCGACGAGCAGGACGAAGGACGUUGGGGAUCCUCGCAGAGAUGAGGACGAGCAGGACGUUGGGGAUCCUCGCGGUUUUCUCUCCGAGCUUACGAGUCCGCCCAAAAUUGGGGUUCUUCGUUAAGAACUCGUAAUGAGGCGUGUAAUCCGAGCGAGUCCCACCUAAGCCCAUUAAAGCUAAUCCGGUUGCACACCAAACACAGGACUAUAGUCUAGUCCAGUCCAAGCCUUGCUAAUCCUGUCAAACAAACGUGCCCUAAUAGUAUUAGCACCCAAGUUUUUGGUACAACAGUUGCAUUUUUGCAGAUCGAAAAUAUGACUAGCGUAUUUAUAUUUUUUAUCUUUUUUGUAGGGUGGUGGUUUUGGCACCCAACAAAUUGUGAUCGAAUGCCCCUUAUGCGAGGAUUAUUACAAGAUUCGGGAGCAUCUCCACUCACAAUUUUAUUUGCUUUAAGUAGAGAUACAUAAUAUCAAACGCCUUCGGAUGAACUGUCAUUUAGUCGCGAUGUUAAUUUAUAGUGAUUUCACAACACUAAAAGGUACCUCCUCGAUCACAAUAUACUCAACAAUACCUUCCACACUUUCUUCUAGGCUCCACCCUUUAGCAACAAGCUUGUUUUUGACAUCCUCAAAAGGUCCAGAACUGCCUAGAACCUUUGGCAACUCAUCAGUUGGUUUAUAUGACUUGCAAUGUUUAUUGAUAUGUUUAAUGUAAGCACUAGUUCCACCCCCCACUAGUAACACAUGAAAAAAGGGCAUUACAAUGGUUACACUUAGCCUUCCAUACUUGUACCUCCACCAUCUCUUUCUUUCCAUCUUUUUCUACUUCAUGUAUUUUCGAGACGGUACACUUAGUGACAUGAUCCCAAACCCAAGAUCUCUCAGAAGAAGAUCUCUCUAGUGAAGCUAUUAUAGUUUGUUGUCUUGUCUUUGGAAUAAGUGGUGCUUUUCUUUUUUUUUGGAGGAUGAGGGGUUUUGGGGAGGUAUUGAUGAUUUUGCCUGUGUGGGUUGUGCUUGUGUUGGUUGUGGAGGACAUGGUGAUGUAGCCAUAGAUGAUGCUACAUUAGUACUAGGGGUACUUUAACUUUGAGAUCGAGACAAUAUGUAAAAAUUUGUAAAAAUUAAAUAAUGGAAGUAUAUUCAUUAAUCAAAUAAAGAUAUUUUGAAAUAUGCACACCAAUUUCAUGAAAUUACCACAAAAUACUAAUCAUCUUAAGAAACCAUUAAAACUUUAGAGUUCAGAUCACGAAUAAAACCAACUACUAAAUCCAUCCCCAUUAAGAGAAAGAAACUAAAUAAAACCAAAUGAAAACAAGAGAAAGACGUGCUAAAUGAAAACAAAGAGAAACCAAAUGUAAGACGUGCUAAAUAAAUCCAUCCCCAUUAAUACUCGAUAUGAAACCAAAUGAAAAUAGGAGAAAGAAACUAUAUGCUAAAAAGAGGGAUAGAGCAAUUUUGAAUCAUGCUAAAUUUGACUUACAUUAGCAAUAUUCAAAGAAAAACUAGUUAAAAGAAAAACGUGCGGAUCUAUUAACUAUUAAGUACUUACAUUUAUUGGGUUCCAAAGAAGAAGACUAGUACUUUCUUCCAAUCAACAGAGUAGCCCCACUUCUCUGGUACACUUACCUGCAGAAUGAUUAGGAAUAAUUAGGAAUAAAGAGAUAAUCAAACUAUAAGUUUACACACAUUCUUGUAUACUACAGAAACCAAAACCAUGCUAAAUUUGUCUGAGAAGACAAAAACCAAAUCAGAGGCUGUUAUGCUUCUAAAAGAACAUAUGAGCAGUCACCUUAUGCAAAACAACAUCAAAGGGUCCUUGAUCUGAAAGUGGCUUGUUUACAUCAAUUGCAAUGAAGAAGAUCCCCUUAUUCCUGCAAUGAAGAAGAUCCCCUUACAACAAUCUGCAUUAACAAACCGGUUUAAUGUGCUAAACCUAAGGACAACAAGAGUAGAGCCCCAAAUUACUGAGAAAUUGCAAGGAAACAAGGUCGACAACAGAGGCAACAAAGCAGUAAACCUACAAGACUAAAAGGAAACAAACAGCCUAGCCUGCAAAGAUUCAGAGAAGUCUGGGCGCAGAGCCAGGAAUAAUUAGCACUUUAACCCUGCAAAUUAUGAUUGACGAGUGACAACCCAUCUUUGUUUACUUUUACUUUUGUUUGUUGGAGUAGCUAGCACUUUAACAUUCAACAGAAACUAGUAUGUAAAACUUUAAUGUGCUGUUCGUCUGCUACACAUUAAGUUAAUUUAUCUAUGCGUGGGUGUGUGAGUGUCACCCUUCAAAUUCAUGCAGUAUGAGGGGGAAUUCCCAUGGCCCUAGUGCCACUGCGGCUAGGCCUUGUCCUCCACCUCCAAUAUAUAUUGAAUUAAUUGCACUUUCAUCCUAGUACCCAUACACCACUCCAUACAAAAUAAAAAUAAAGACUUGUCACAAUAUCACUAAUGCCGGCUUGGUUCUUAACGUUAUGUUGUAUUUUUAAAUCCAUUUGUAAUUAUAUCGGUCCGUGAAACAAUAAUAUAAAUUGAUCAAAUUAAAAUACAAACCAUUGCCAAUAUAUUAUGAAUUAAUUGCGCUUUCAUCAUCCAACAACUCAUACAUUAUUCCAUGAAUAAAAUAAAUAUAUUAAUAAAGAGGAGAAGAUGGAAUAAUAAUAAACAACACAACGAACACGUAUGAUUAAAAGUUGUACUUUUUAAACACAUUUGUAAUUUCAUCGGUAGUAUAUAGAAAGAGGGGAAACUUAGUGAACUUAAAACAGGUUUGAAUACUAAGUGAACUAAAGCAGAACAAAUCCCUAAAAAUUGCUUAAGUUCAAAUGAGUUUUCUAUCCGAAAAUAAAAUCUAAUUUCCAAAACAUAUCAAUAUAAGAACAUCUAAAAUUGAAUUGUAUCAUCUUCAACCAAAUCUACAUCGGCCGUUUGUGAAACCAAAUGCAUACAAUCACCGAAUUACGAACUUUUUGAGAUGCAAUCGAAACACAAAUUGACAACUGUGAAUGAUAAGAACUAAGAAGAACUAGACUACAUUGAAUCAAAGACGACAACUGAGAGUGGAAACGUUUCGCUCAGACUUAGAUCUGAAAUAUGCAAAGCAAAGAAAAACCCAAACCUUGUUAUUAGUGAUUCAAUAUUAGAGUGGAAAAAAAUUGGUAGAUGCGAAGGGAAGAACCCUAAAUGGUGGCAAUAGAUCAAUCAUCAAUCUACAAAUGCAAUUCAAAUAAAAAUGACACUGAAUUACAUGGAUUAAACAAGAAUUACAAUCUUAUAAAUAUAAAUGACAAUGAAUGUGCCAUGAAAAGUGAAGCUCCACAACUGGUAAUAACGCAUGGAAAAUCAAAAUAAGCAUGUUCGACAUAGAUGCAACUGAAAAUCUAAAACCUGAAUCACUUCCAUAGAACCUAAGACCAUGCUUGCAUGCAUCAAUCAAAUCCAAAUGACACGUGGGAAGAUAGUCGACAUUGCCUCGCAUCUACUAGAACCAAAACACAACUUCCCUUCUCCCCUUUGUUCACGAGUGCUCAUACGGUUUCUAUUCUAUUUUGCACAGGUAAUAACCCAAAAUUUGUUAUCAAUGGUUCAAUAUUACAGUGGAAAAAAAUUGGUUGAUGCAAAGAGAAGAACCUUAAAUUGUGGCAACAGAUCAAUCAUCAAUCUACAAAUGCAAUUCAAAUUUUAAGAAAACCCUAAAUGGUGGCAAUAUGAUUCAAUCAUCAAUCUACAAAUUCUAACUUAAAAAGGUCGUACCCAGUGCACAAGGCUCCCGCUUUACGCAGGGUCUGGGAGAGGUGAAUGUCGGCUAGCCUUACCCCCAUUUUAUGGAGAGGCUGCUCCCAAGUCUCGAACCCGAGACCUACCGCUCAUGGGCGAAGGCACUUGCCAUCGCACCAAGUGCGACCUCUUCUACAAAUUCUAACUUAAAACCCCUAAAAUCCCUACACCAGAUAUUCACAAUUUCGCAUUAAUAAUAAAUCCUAAUUCAAAAUUACCUACAUUUUAGAGGGAUGAUGGUUGGUAGUGGUAUUGGACCACUGGUGGUAGCGGUAUUGAACCACUGGUGGUAGCAGUGUUCCUCGACGGUGGUGAUGGGAUGAUGAUGGUCGCGAUGGCGGAGGUGGUGCCGUUGUGUUGGUAGCGACGAAGCUGUGAAAGUCUGAAAGUUGGAGCUCAAUGGUGGUGAUGGGGUGAUGGUGGUCGCGACGGUGGAGGUGGUGCUGUUGUGUUAGUCCCAACGUCGUUAAGCACUGUGAGUUAGAGUCUGAGAGUUGGAGUUAAGGGAAAGGACAAGGAGGGAGUCGAGUCGAGGGAGGGAGAGAUUCUGAAAGACUGAGGGUUGUUUUGGAACUCGGGAGGUGGAAUUGGCUAGAGUAGCCCCACUUCUCUGGUUCAUUUACCUACAGAAUGAUUAGGAAUAAUUAGGAACAAUGAGAGAAACAAACUAUAAGUUUACACACAUUCCCGUAUACUACAAAAACCAAAACCAUGCUAAAUUUGUCUUAGAAGACAAAAACCAAAUCAAAGGCUUUUAUGCUUCUAAAAGAACAUAUGAGCACCCACCUUAUGCAAAACAACAUCAAAGGGUCCUUGACCUAAAAGUGGCUUGUCUACAUCAAUUGCAAUGAAAAAGAUCCCCUUAUUCCUGCAAUGAAGAAGAUCCCCUUACAACAAUCUGUAUUAGCAAACCUGUUUAAUGUGCUAAACCUAAAGACAACAAGAGCAGAGCCCCCAAUUACUGAGAAAUUGCAAGGAAACAAGGUCGACAGUAGAGGCAACAAAGCAGUAAGCCUACAAGACUAAAAGGAAACAAAUAGCCUAGCCUGCAAAGAUUUAAAGAAGUCUGGGCGCAGAGUUAGGAAUAAUUAGCACUUUAACCCUACGGAUUAUGAUUGACAAGUGACGACCCAUCUUUGUUUACUUUUACUUUUUUUUGUUGGAUUAGCUAGCACUUUAACAUUCAACAGAAACUAGUAUGUAAAAUUUUAAUGUGCUGCUUAUCUGCUACACAUUAAGUUAAUUAAUCUAUGCGUGGGUGUGUGAGUGUCACCCUUCAAAUUCAUGCAGUAUAAGGGGGGAAUUCCCAUGGCACUAGUGCCACCGUAGCUAGGCCUUGUCCUCCCCCUCCAAUAUAUAUUGAAUUAAUUGCACCUUCAUCCAAGUACCCAUACACCACUCCAUACAAAAUAAAAACAAAGACUUGUCACAAAUAUCACCAAUGCCGGCUUGGUUCUUAACGUUAUGUUGUAUUUUUAAAUCCAAUUGUAAUUAUAUCGGUCCGUGAAACAAUAAUAUAAAUUGAUCAAAUUAAAAUACAGACCAUUGUCAAUGUAUUAUGAAUUAAUUGCGCUUUCAUCAUCCAACAACUCAUACAUUAUUCAAUGAAUAAAAUAAAUAUAUUAAUAAAGAGGAGAAUAUGGAAUAAUAAUAAACAACACAACGAACACGUAUGAUUGAAGGUUGUACUUUUUAAACAUAUUUGCAAUUUCAUCGAUAGUAUAUAGAAAGAGGGGAAACUUAGUGAACUUAAUUUUGGGCCGUCAAAUCUGUUUUUACUAAUAUAUUUGAUCUCAUUUGAUCGUAGCCGUUAGAUUAUAAGUAAAAAAACAAAAAAAAAGUUUGAAAUAUGAUAAUUUAGUGGGUUCAGAAUAAUUUAAGCCAAGCUUAAAUCCUGGGAGGAAUCUAGCUGAGAAAUAUAUUUUCUCUCCCAGGCUUAUUUUAGCCCAUGAUUGGAGAUGGUUUGGGAGUGUUUUAAAACAUAUAUUUUAAGUUUUAUUUCAUGAGUUGGUGAUGGUCUAAGGGGAGAGACAUAAUAUCUAGGAUUUGGAUUCUCUCAUGAGCUAAUGGAGAGGAUCCUCCUGACCAACAUAUGUGGACCGUUGGAUGAAAAUUCAACGGCUACAAACAGAAUGUUCUUUUAAAGUUAUAAUAAUUAUAGCCGUUGAAUUUUCAUCUAACGGUCCAUAUACGUUGCUUAGGAGGAUCCUCUCCUUAAGCUCAGGAGAGGAUCCAAAUCCUAAUAUCUAACGCUUUCGGAUAAACCGACAUUUAAUCACGAUAUUAACUUCUAGUGAUUCGAGGAAACAUACUAAAGCUUAAUUUCAGUGCCGGCCUUAUUUUUGGACCCAGCUUCUCUGCCCUUCCAGUUCUCAUACACUCCCAUCCCCUCCUAUUUUGUUUCGUGCGGUCACGAUUAAUCCACGUCAAUAUUUUAUAUUGAUCUUUUUAUAGAGAUAAUAAGACAAAAAGUAAUAGUGAUAUAAAAUGUUAACAUAGUUUAACUGUUAUCGCAAAAAUAAGAGGAGAUAAGAGUGUAUGAAAACUAGGAAUGCAGAGAAGCCAGGUCCCUUAUAUUUUGUCGAACUUGUCAUGGUCAGACAUUUUAAGUGAAAGUGACAAUAUGUGCAGCUGAGUCAAUGCGGUCGAAACCUGGUUCCUUAUCAAUCUCCUUACAAAGUAUCGAAACUAAUAAUUAUUGAGCAAACGCAAUUGCCCUUUUGUCUGAUUGCCGACGGUUGACCAUGGAAACCUGGUUCCUGAUCCUCAUCGCCUUCUGCGUCUCCUUCCUCCUCAAACCCCUUCUUUCCCUAUUCCUACCCACUUCCAUCUCCAAACCCAAGCUCCCUCCUGGGCCCCGCGUCUUCCCCGUCAUCGGCGGCUUCUUAUUCCUCCUCAAAUCCUUCUCGGAGCUCGAGCCUAUCAUCCGCAAACUCAAGGCCAAACACGGGCCCAUUAUCUCCCUCCGCAUCGGCUCCCGCCCGGCCGUCUUCAUCGCCGACCGCUCCCUCGCCCACCAGGCCUUAAUCCAGAACGGCGCCGUGUUCGCCGACCGCCCCCGGGCCUCGGCCACCAACAAGUACUCCAGCAGCAACCAGCACAACAUCAGCUCCGCCAUCUACGGCCCCACUUGGCGCCUCCUCCGCCGCAACCUCACCUCCGAAAUCCUUCACCCUUCCCGGGUCAAAUCCUACGGCAACGCCCGCAAAUGGGUUCUCGACAUCCUCGUCAACCGCCUCAAAACCAAGUCUCAAUCCCACUCCGAAGGCGCCAGCGCCGGCGUCAGGGUGGUCGACCACUUCCAAUACGCCAUGUUCUGCCUCCUGGUUCUGAUGUGCUUCGGUGACAAAUUGAACGAAGAGCAAAUCAAAGAAAUCGAGCGGGUGCAGCGCCAAUUUCUUUUGAGUUCCGGGCGGUUCAAUAUCCUCAAUUUCACCCCUAAAUUGACGAAGAUUAUCUUCAAAAAUCGGUGGCGGCAAUUCUUCAAAAUCCUCGAGGAACGACGAGAAGUGCUCGUCCCUCUGAUUCGAGCAAGACAAAACAAGGCAAAGCAGGGCAGCAAAAACGACGACAAUGACGAUGAAUUUGUGUUGUCGUAUACUGAUACGCUGCUGGACCUCGAGCUUCCCGACGGAAACAAAAAGCGGAAGCUUUCGGAGGGAGAAAUGGUCAGCCUCUGCUCAGAGUUUCUGAACGGCGGCACCGACACGACUUCCACCGCGCUGCAGUGGAUCAUGGCCAACGUAGUGAAGUACCCGCAAGUUCAGGAGAAGCUGUUUGCGGAGAUUAAAGGGGUUAUGGGAGAAACGGAGGACGAGCUGCGGGAGGAGGUCCUGCACAAGCUGCCGUAUCUGAAAGCCGUGAUCUUGGAGGGGCUGAGGCGCCACCCGCCGGGCCACUUUGUGCUGCCGCACGCGGUGACGCAUGACGUGGUUUUGGGCGGACACGUGGUGCCCAAGAACGGGAGUGUUAAUUUCAUGGUGGCGGAUAUAGGCUGGGACCCUCAAGUGUGGGAAGAUCCCAUGGCGUUCAAGCCGGAGAGGUUCUUGAGCAGCGGCGGAGGAGAAGAAGGGUUCGAUUUGACGGGGAGCAGGGAGAUUAAGAUGAUGCCGUUUGGGGCAGGGAGGAGAAUCUGUCCUGCGUCGGGAUUGGCGGUGCUUCACCUGGAGUACUUUGUGGCGAAUUUGGUGUGGAAAUUUGAGUGGAGAGCUGUGGAGGGAGAUGACGUGGACCUGUCGGAGAAGCAGGAGUCUACUGUGGUGAUGAAGAAUCCAUUGCAAGCCCACGUAAUCCCUAGAAUUUAAUGCGUGGGAGAAUUCUGUAAUAAUUUUUCGAUAUACUUUGAACUGUCAAAUCCAUCAAUGUAUGCUCUUCAUUGAUUAUGCAAUUUCGAAAAUUUGGAAUUUUAGUUUACUAGUGUGAUACAAGACAGAUUUUAUAACUUCAAUAUUUAGUGAGUGAUUUGAGUGAGCUGUACUUGCUACUUUUUAGCUUAUAACUAAUACAACUUUCCAAUCUUGGAAGACAUCUUCUGUAUUUAGAGAUUGCCCAAUAGCAAGGAGCAUUUGAGAAUUUGAUGGGAAUGCCUACAUAGUUACAACUCUCCUUUAAUCUUGGUGUUACAACUUGUUUGAUGACUAAUUCGAUAUCCCAGUUAUUGUGGUCUGAACAAACUCGGUGGAGUAGUGUUUUUGUUUUUACCUUCGUAUAUAUAGAAAUGGAAGAAUAAACAACUUUUUGAAGACAACUUCUUUCCGACAAAGGUGUUAUGGUACCAUUUCUGUUCAUUGCUUAAUUUGUUAGACUAUGCUUCGUCCUAAAAAUUCGUCAACUGAAGUAAUCUGAAGUUUUCAACUUCAUGUUUUGAGCCUCGGAGAUAAGGUUAAGCUCUAUGGAACUACUAUAUUUACAACAAUCUCGAUCUGAUUUCUUUGACAUGUUGAAUUUGUUGGUGGGACGCUGAGAUGCAAUGAAUAUGUGACAUUACGCAAAGUUGGAGAUGCAAGCCAUAAGGUUGGUCAUAUACAAUAUGCUAAUAGUAUUUGCACCCACAUUUUUAGCACAACAGUUCCAUAGCUAGAGUUCUAGUUUGCGGACGGAAAGUCUGACUAGCGUAUAUAUAAUUUGAUCUUUUGUAGGGUGGUGGUUCUGGCACCCAACAAAUUGUGAUUGAAGGCCCCUUAUGUGAGAAUUAUUACAAGAUUCGGGAGUAUCUCUAGUCACAAUUUUAUGUCCUUUAAGACCAUCUCCAACCUUUGGGGACAAAGCUUAAAAAUUUAAGCCAGAAAAUUUUAAGUCAUAAGCGAGAAACUGUUUUUCUCUUCUAACCCUUAUGGCUUAAAAUUUUAGCCUGUGAUGAUCAAAUAAUGAUUUUAGCCUAACUUUUUGUUUUCGGUAACUUUUUUUGAAAAUAAAAUUUACGUAGAUUAUCUUAAUCUAUUUUUAUAAAUAUUUUAGUCUAAAAAUAUUUAAAUUCCGAUAAGUAAUUAAAAAUCAUACAAAUACAUAGGUAUUUAUAAAGUUUUAAGUUAAAUUUGAUUUAAAUAAUUUUCUUAAAUUAUUUUAGAUGUUGAUUUAAUCUUGGACGGUCAAAUCUUUUUUUUACUUUUAGAUUUGAUCUCAUUUGAUCAUAACCGUUAAAUUAUAAGUAAAAAGCAAAAGAAAAAUUGAAAUAUAACAGUUUGGUGGAUUCAAAAUAAUUUAAGCCAACUUUAAAUCUUGGAGGAAUCUAGUUUAGAGAUAUAUUUUAUUUUAGCUUAUGGUUGGAGAUAGUUUGGAGGUUUUAAAAUUUAUAUUUUAAGCUUUAUUUUAUAAAUUAGAGAUCAUCUAAAUGGAUAGACAUAAUAUCUAAUGCCUUCAUAUGAACUUGAAUCACAAUGUUAACUUCCAGUGAUUCAGGAAACACACUAAAGUUUAAUUUCAACGUAGGACUUAUUUUUCGUCGAAGUUGUCAUGGACUCAUGGUCAGACAUUUUAAGUGAAAGUGACAAUAUGUGCAGCUGAGUUAAUGCCGUGGAAACUUGGUUCCUUAUAAUGUAUGGAAACUAACAAUUAAUGAGCAGACGCAGUUGCCCUUUUGUCUGAUUGCUUACGAUUCACCAUGGAAACCUGGUUCCUUGUCCUCAUCGCCCUCUGCGUCUCCUUCCUCCUCAAACCCCUUCUCUCUCUAUUCCUACCCACUUCCAUCUCCAGACCCAAUCUCCCUCUCGGGCCUCGCUUCUUCCCCAUCAUCGAGGGCUUCUUAUUCCUCCUCAAAUCUGCCUCGGAGCUCGAGCCUAUUAUCCGCAAACUCCAGGCCGAAUACGGGCCCAUCAUCUCCCUCCGCAUCGGCUCCCGCUCUACCGUCUUCGUCGCCGACCGCUCCCUCGCCCACCAGGCCUUAAUCCAGAACGGAGCCGUGUUCGCCGACCGCCCCCGGGCCUUGGCCACCAACAAGUGUCUCAACAGCAACCAGCACACCAUCGGCUCCGCCGGCUACGGUCCCUCGUGGCGUCUCCUCCGCCGCAAUAUCACCUCCGAAAUCCUCCACCCUUCCCGCGUUAAAUCCUACGGCAACGCCCGCAAAUGGGUUCUCGACAUCCUUGUCAACCGCCUCAAAACCGAGUCUCAAUCCCACUCAGAAGACGUCGCCAGCGGCGUCAGGGUGGUCGACCAUUUCCGAUACGCCAUGUUCUGCCUCCUGGUUCUGAUGUGCUUCGGCGACAAAAUGAACGAAGAGCAAAUCAAAGAAAUCGAGCGUGUGAACCGCCAACUACUUUUGAGUUUCGGGCGGUUCAAUAUCCUCAAUUUCAAUCCAAAAUUGACGAAGAUUAUCUUCAAAAAUCGGUAGCGGCAAUUCUUCAAAAUCCUCGAGGAACGACGAGAAGUGCUCGUCCGUCUGAUUCGAGCACGACAAACCAGGGCGAAGCAGGGCAGCAAAACCGACGACAAAGACGAUGAAUUUGUGUUGUCGUAUACUGAUACGCUGCUGGACCUCGAACUUCCCGACGGCAACGAAAAGCGGAAGCUUUCGGAGGGAGAAAUGGUCAGCCUCUGCUCAGAGUUUCUGAACGCCGGCACCGACACGACUUCCACCGCGCUGCAGUGGAUCAUGGCCAACGUAGUGAAGUACCCGCAAGUUCAGGAGAAGCUGUUUGCUGAGAUUAAAGGGGUGAUGGGAGAAACGGAGGAGGAGGUGCGGGAGGAGGUCCUACACAAGCUGCCGUAUCUGAAAGCCGUGAUCUUGGAGGGGCUGAGGCGCCACCCGCCGGCGCACUUUGUGCUGCCGCACGCGGUGACGCAAGACGUGGUUUUGGGCGGACACGUGGUGCCCAAGAACGGGAGUGUUAAUUUCAUGGUGGCGGAUAUAGGCUGGGACCCGCAAGUGUGGGAGGAUCCCAUGGCGUUCAAGCCCGAGAGGUUCUUGGGCAGCGGCGGAGAAGAAGGGUUCGAUUUGACGGGGAGCAGGGAGAUUAAGAUGAUGCCGUUUGGGGCAGGGAGGAGGAUCUGUCCUGCGUCGGGAUUGGCGGUGCUUCACCUGGAGUACUUUGUGGCGAAUUUGGUUUGGAAGUUUCAGUGGAGGGCUGUGGAGGGAGAUGACGUUGACCUGUCAGAGAAGCGGGAGUUUACUAUGGUGAUGAAGAAUCCAUUGCAAGCCCACGUAAUCCCUAGAAUUUAAUACGUGUGAGAAUUCUGAGAAUUCUGUACUAAUUUUUAGUACGUGUGAGAAUCCUGUACUAAUUUUUAGGGUAAAUUACAUAGUAGUCACUCAUGUUUGAUGUCUAUUACAACCUCAUACAACGUCUUUAAAACAUUUCACUUUCAUACAUCAUUCAAAAUAAUACAUCCGUUAGAUUUUCCGUCCAUUAAUCUGUUAAAUACUGACGUGGCUGCCACAUCUGUGCUGAUGUGGCUGCCAAAUGUGUGUCACGUGGCAAAAAUAAUAAUUUUUUAAUUUUUUUUAAAAAAACCUAAAUCUUUGAAAUUUAAAAUAAAAUAAAAUAAAAUAAAAAAUAAAAAAAUAAAAACCCAAAAGCUGAACAAAACCCCACCCCCGUGAACCCCUCUCAGCCUUCUUCUUCCCCGCUCCCAUCUUCCCCCACCCCAUACUUGCACCUUUGAAGGAAAAAAAAAACCCAAAGAACAACCCAGAUCCCAUACCCCAUACGACCACCCCCCAACCCAUAUCCCAUUACCACGCCCCCCCUGCGCGCGCGCGCGCGAAACCCAACCCAGAUCCCAUUACCACCCCUCCGGCGCGAAACCCAUAUCCCCCCCCCCCGAACUGCAAGGACGUCAUCCUCACCUGCAUCAUCUUCAUCGUCGAAGACGACAACUGUGGAGCCAAAAAUAUUCACUAGGCGACACGUGGAUUUGUGAACGAAAGAGGACAAAAAUACCCUUGAGGUAUAUCGGGAUUCCUACGCGCAAGUAGUGGGUAAUCAUCCUCAACCAAUUCAAAAAUGCUCCAGAAGAGGUAACUAAUUCCAAAUUAUCUUAUUUUAGGUAAUUAUUUCCAAAACUUAAUUUCCCUAAUAUAUUAUUUAGUUAAUUAAUUAUCUAAAUAAUAUAUUCUUCCCAUAUCUCCUAAAAUCAUCCCUUAAUUACCAAUUUGAAACAUCCACUCAAACCUAAAAAAUGGGAUAGGGCCGGCUACCCCAUUCAAAGUCUAUUCCAUCACCUUUUUUUCUACCUUUUCCACCUUUCCUUCCCUUUUAAAUUAGCCAAUCAAUACCAUAAAUAAUAAAAUAUCUCCUUUCAUAUUUAAUUAGCCAAUUAAUUGGCUAAUUAAACCUAAAAUUAAACCUAAAAAUCCCAUAGUAACCGGCCACAUUCCCUCCCAUCUUUUCCCUACCUUUUUUUUUAUUUUCCUCCACUUUAUUACUCAAAUAAAGCUAAUCAUUUAAGACCCCAUUCAUUUCUAUUUUAUUAGCCAAUAAAGGGGCUAAUAAAAAACCACAAAUUGACUAAGAAAAAGGGAAGGGUGUGGCCGGCCCUUCCUUGGUGAAAAAUGGGGAAGCCUAAUCCUAUAAAUAGGCUCCUAUUCUCACCAAAAAUUCAUUCCAAACCUCUUGCAAAAAUUCCAAAACACUCUAAACACUAUUUCUCUCUAAAUUUCUAACUUUGGCAUCGGAGGUUCUUCGGCCAAAGCCCCCCCCAUUCAUCGUGGGCGCGUGAGGCUUUUGGCCUUAACCUAAGGUGCUAGUUUGUUUUGUAGGUGCAAAAUCGUCCAAGAUCGAAGAGGAGAAAAUUUGCAUCCACAAAUUGGUGCUUUCAUUGAGAGUUGUAAUCCAUACUCGUAGAAGACUCUCGUACAAAAAGGUUUUUUUCUUUAUUUUCUAGUCUAUUUGAAUAUUUUUCAUACGUUCUUAUUAUUAGAAUUUUCUACUUGCAAAGGUUCUUUGAUAAAACGUAUAAGAAAAAUAUAAUGACUAGAAAUUUAGAAAAUUCCGCAAGUAAAAAAUUCUAGUAUUCAAGAAAUGGGACUACGGAGAUCCAUGAGGCAAAAUGCGACAAGAAGGGGAGCGACAUCAUCACCACGAGCUUCCACCAUGGGAACCACCGUGAUGGCUACCUCGGUAGCCACCCGCGGCGAGGUCCAUGGUGCCUUCACCACGGCCGCCAUGGGAACCACCACGGUGGCUACUUCGGUAGCCGCUCGUGGCGAGGUCCAUGGAGCCUUCACCACAGCCGCCAUGGGAACCACCACGGUGGCUACUUCGGUAGCCACUCGUGGCGAGGUCCAUGGAGCCUUCACCACGGCCCGAGUCGUGCCAUCCAAGUUUACGUGGACCAAAGCCCAAGCCUCGCAUUCACAUGCACCGCGCAUUGAGCAGCCUGCUCCCCGUGAUCCAGCCUGCUCUUGUAGCCCAGCCUGCUCCAACGAUCCAGCCUGCCCCAGUGAUCCAGCCUGCCCCCGCAGCCCAGCCUGUUUUCAUGGUUUCCCAAGCUGCCCAAGUCCGCCCGAGACAAUCUCAACCAUCCGGACCAAUCAUCGAGGCUGAGGCGUUUUCACCGCAUUUCUCUGCAGAUUUGACAUUCCCCAACUCAAAUCUCGCACCUGGAGUCAACCACCCUUUCAUUGUUCAAGGAGGUGCAUUCCAUCCAAGUUCUUCCAAUCCGAAUGGCGAACAAAACUUGUCCCGACAAGUCAUAGAAUUGACGAGCGCCCUUGCACAACAAACCACCUUGGUGAAUCAACUUUUACAACGUACUGAGAUGCAUCGCGCUCACGAUGAAGUUUCCCGGAGUAGAACAAGGGUAGACAAUGAGCCUUUUAAACAGCGUCCUGGAAAGCAGCCAUUCAACCCAUCACAAGUGGAGCAUUCAGACAGUGCACACUCUCGAUUGGGCCCCCGAAAUAGCAUAUACUCCCGUCUUAGCGCGCGGAUGAGCGUGCACUCUCGGUUAGGCCCACGAGCAAGUAUACAUUCACGGUUGGGGCCACGCUUUGAUAAUCAACAUGGGCAACCUUCCAGGCAAAGCAUUCAUUCGCGAUUAGGCUCACAAGGAGUAUCCUCCACAUCACAUCGGAGCAGGCAGCCUGACAAACGGAAGGAAACGAUCGUUCAAUCUGGCUCUAGUUCAACCGAUAGCCUGCAAAGAAAUCCCUCGCCUGCUAGGAAUCUAUCUCAUCCAUUGCAGCCACAGCGUAGACGAGCCGAGCGAGAAGAAGAGCAGCCUAGACCGGUAGAAAAAGACCAAGGGCAGCAAAAAGCUCCGCUACCCCCAACAAAAGCAAAUCCAAGAAGAGGUAGAAAGGCUUUUCAAUGAGCGGAUGCGUGAUUUUCGGCGCAACGAAAUGGUUGAUGAGGCACUAAGGCGAGAUAUGACCAACAUGAGCAGGUCACCUUUCGCGGAUGAGAUCGAGCAGGCAGAGCCUCCGCGCAAGUUUAGCAUGCCACACUUCACAUCUUUCAAAGGAGAUGGGGAUCCCGAAAGACACUUGAAGCAUUACCGAAAUGCGAUGGUCCUUUAUCGGAAUAAUGACGCCCUUAUGUGCAAAAUAUUCGCCACUACUUUACAAGGCGAGGCACAAGAUUGGUUUCAUACCUUGCCGGCACGAUCCAUCCUGAAUUUUGAUGAUCUUUCCUUGGUCUUCACCAAAGAAUACUCAUCUUAUCGAUCGAUCAAGAAGAAGUCCGAUCACCUGUUCAACGUAAAGAAAAACCCAAAAGAGUCGCUUCGCGAUUACGUGAAGAGAUUCAAAGCAGAGAAGGCGAAGAUCGUCGGAUGCGACAACUCGAUAGCAAGUGCAGCCUUCCAAAAAGGACUACCAGCAGACCACCUACUGUUUGGAGAAAUGAUCAUGAAAGAAGACCUAACUCUAGCAGAUUCCUUUGCUCUGGCAGAAAAGCAUGCGCUUUGGGACGAGGCUCGACAAGCAGAAAAGGCUCCCGAACAACCUCGAAAAGAGUUGGCAGCUACUCAAAAGAAGGAUGAAAAACAACCCAACAAGGGCAGGCAGGAGUUCAAGCGCAGGGACCGACCCACGACCAAAGAAGGCCCGAUGACCAACAACUAUUCUAAGUUCUCAAUUCCGAUUCAUCAAAUCCUUCGUGACGUCAAGAAUGAACCAUGGUUCAAGUUGCCGAAGCAGUCAAAAGGAGAUACUUCCAAGUUGGACCACACUAAGUAUUGUGCAUUCCACCGAGGUCCCGGUCACACAACCAACGAUUGCUACACUUGGAAGAACUACCUAGAGAAACUCGUGAAAGAAGGCAAAGUCGAUAGAUAUUUGGACAAGCCAGCUGAGCAGCAAAAAAGGAAUGCAGACGGAGAUGAGGAGCCACCAACUAAGACGAUUCGAAUCAACGGCAUUUUUCGCUGAGUCCGAGCACUUAGGGGCUACUAAUAACUCCAAAAAGAGGAAGAUCCAGCAGGCCUUACUAAUCUCACAAGUUCAUGCAGUCGAUACCCAACCUGGACCUAUCAUUGGCUUCACGGAGCAGGAUGCAGAAGGAGUCGACUUCCCACACGACGAUGCAUUAGUAGUAUCUGUCCAACUAGCCCAUGCUAUAGUCGACAGGAUGAUGGUUGACAAUGGAAGUGCGGUCAACCUACUUCAACUUUCAGUCAUUCAGAAGAUGGGCCUGGAAAGUACAAUCAUACGCCGGGCAGAGGUACUUACUGGAUUCAACGGACACACCUCAACUGCCAUCGGUCAUAUCAUACUUGACGUAAAAACACCGCCAGUCGUCUCAAAGCAAACAUUCACGAUUGUAAGCGACCCAUCUCCCUACAAUGGGAUUCUUGGGAGACCUUGGUUGAUCAAGCUGGAUGCUGUCACUUCCGUCAAGUAUCAAAAAAUCUGAUUCCGCAUCCCGGAAGGAGGAGUCGGAGAGAUCAAGUCUGACCAGGCUUCAUCCCGACGAUGCACUGUGCAAAUGUUAAAAGAAACAAAGAAAAAGACCUUUACCCCCGUAGAGGUUACCGAAGUCCAAAAGGGCAAAGAAAUUGCCAAAUAGCAAUUACAGCAGGUGGAUCGAGAAGAUGGCACCCAAGCAGACAGGAUAGGAUGGAAACCCGAAGAGGACGCCGAAGACAUCAUUCUUGAUCCCCAGCAGCCGGAAAAGACGACUAAAAAUUGGCUCACGACUAAGCCCAGACGAGAAGGAAGAACUCACAAUUUUCCUUAGGAAAAACCGAGAUAUCUUCGCAUGGUCACCAUCCGACAUGCCCGGUAUUGAUCCCAAAGUGGCCUGCCACAAGCUGCACGUCGAUCCAACUGCCAAACCGGUAAUUCAAAAAAGAAGACAUUUCGCUCCCGAACGAGUAGCGAUCAUCGAGGCAGAAAUCGACAAACUAUUGGAGGCCGGUUUCAUAGAAGAGGUAGCACACUCGGCAUGGCUUGCUAAUGUCGUACUAGUCAUGAAGAAAGAGAAGGGCAAAUGAGGGGUUUGCGUAGACUACACUGACCUCAACAAAGCAUGCCCAAAAGACCAUUAUCCUGUCCCCCCGGAUUGAUCUAUUAGUAGAUUCAACUUCUGGAAACCAGUUACUUAGUUUCUUAAACGCAUACUCCGGCUACAACCAAAUAGCCAUGCAUGAGCCCGACAAGGAGAAAACUGCGUUCGUGAUAGAGCGAGGCACUUACUGCUACAAGGUCAUGCCUUUUGGCCUCAAGAACGCGGGAGCCACUUACCAAAGGUUAGUAAAUAUGAUGUUCAAAAAGCAAAUUGGGGUAACCAUGGAGGUCUAUGUCGACGAUAUCAUGGUAAAGGGCAAGCAGCGAUCAGAUCACAUUCGCAAUUUAGCAGAAGCUUUCAAUAUCCUUAGAAGGUACAAGAUGAAGCUCAACCCCACCAAGUGCACGUUUGGAGUAUCUUCAGGUCGAUUCCUAGGGUACUUAGUAACCCAACGAGGAAUUGAGGCACAUCCCAAGCAAAUCCAAGCAAUCAUAGAGAUGAAAUCUCCAACUACCUUGAAGGAGAUCCAAAGCUUGACCGGACGAGCAGCCGCCCUCAAUCGCUUCCUCUCACGAUCCACCGAUCGAUGCAAACCCUUUUUCAAAGCUAUCAAGAGGGCACAAAGAAACAAAUGGGAUGAAGAAUGCGAAAAAGCUUUCCAAGACUUGAAGAGUUAUCUCACAUCACCUCCCUUACUAUCCAAGCCGGAAGCAGCGGAGGAUUUAUAUAUUUAUUUGGCAGUUUCCGAGGUAGCAGUGAGCUCUGCUCUCAUACGAGAAGAGCUGGGGGCCCAACUGCCGGUAUUCUACACUUCUAAAGCUCUUCUCGAUGCAGAAACAAGAUAUCCGAAGAUCGAAAAAUUAAUUUUGGCGUUAGUUGUUGCGGCUCGGAAGCUCAGACCCUACUUUCAAACUCAUACAGUCAUUGUUAUGACUCAAUAUCCCUUACGAUCAAUAUUACAUGGUCCGGACGCUUCUCAACGAGUGAUGAAAUGGGCAUUGGAACUUGGCCAAUAUGGUUUAGUUUUCCAACCUCGCACAGCGAUAAAGGCCCAAGCCUUGGCGGAUUUCGUGGCAGAAUUCACACCUAGCCUAGGCAACGCAACAGUGCGGCCCAACGACGCCCCAGAAGCAGCAGAGAGUACCUUAGCCACACUUACUCCAUCCAAUAAAGAUUUCUGGAACUUGCAUGUCGACGGUGCAUCCAACUAUAAAGGCUCGGGAGCAGGUGUAGUUCUUGUUACUCCAGAUGGCUCAAUGCUCGAGCAGGCGAUCACUCUAGGUUUCAAAGCAUCCAAUAACGAAGCAGAGUACGAGGCUCUACUAGCGGGCCUCCGAAUGGCAAAAGACUUGGCGGUGAAGAAACUCGCAAUUCAUUCUGAUUCCCCAACUAAUCACCAGCCAGGCUACUGGGGAAUACACUGCAAAACACCCAAGGAUGGCACAAUACCUAGAGAAAGUACGCCAGCAGCUUGAAGCAUUUCAGACUUACACUCUCACUCAAGUUCCGCGGGCAGACAAUGCACAUGCAGAUGCACUAGCUGGUUUAGGCUCCGCCCUUGACCACCAAUUCAAACGCUCUAUUCCGGUGGAAUAUCUAGACAAGCCAAGCAUAGAGAUGGAGUCGAUAGCCGAAGUGUCACAGGUUAGUGUAACUCCCACUUGGCAAAGUUCAAUUAUAGACUACUUGGUCAACGACACAUUACCCACAGAAAGAUUGGAGUCAAGGAAGCUUCAAAUUAAGUCGGCACGCUACUAUAUGUGGAAUGGCAUUCUCGUCCGAAGAUCCUACACCGGACCACAUCUCCGCUGCCUGGCACCUCCCGAUGACUUGAAGGUUCUAAGCUCAAUCCACGAAGGCGUUUGUGGGAAUCACUCUGGAGGUCGAUCCUUAGCCCAAAAGGCUCUUAACGCAGGCUAUUACUGGCCUACCAUGCACCAAGAUGCUAAGGAGUUAGUACAAAAAAUGCGACCGUUGCCAACGCUACAAACCAGUACCAGCACACUACCCGCCAGUGAGCUACACACCCGCAAACGAGUCCUUGGCCAUUCAUGCAGUGGGCAAUCGACCUGGUAGGGCCUAUGCCGCCUGCUACGGGGGGCAGAUGCAUGAUGAUCGUGGCAACCGACUAUUUCACCAAAUGGGUAGAAGCAGAACCCAUGACAACCACGACUCAGACGGAUAUAGAGAGCGCUUUAUAUGGAGGAACAUCAUUUGCCGAUUUGGCAUCCCUCAGUCCAUCGUCACUGACAACGGUCCUCAAUUUGUGGGAAAAGAUUUGGCAAAGUUCUUCCAAAAAUACGGCAUCAAACAACACAUGUCCACACCAAGAUAUCCUCAAGGCAAUGGGCAGGCUGAAGCAUCCAACAAGACGAUUCUCGACUGCCUCAAGAAAUCCCUCACCGACAAAAAGGGAAAAUGGCCAGAUGAGCUCCCAGGAUGUUUAUGGGCAUAUCGCACCACCAAAAGACGAGCAACCGGUGAAACUCCUUUCUCUUUGGCGUUUGGUUCGGAGGCAAUCAUACCUCCCAACAUCAUCGUGCCAAGCAUCAACACUCUAUUGCUAAACGUUGAGCGGAACAGUAAAGAAAUGGCCACAGAUUUAGAUCUGGCAGAAGAAAGGCGCGAACAAACCAUCACCCGCAUCGCAGCCUACCAGCAGCAGCUCAUUUCCAGCUACAACAAAAGGGCCAAGAUCCGGCAGUUCCAACCUGGAGACCUAGUCCUAAGAAAAGCUUUCAUCACUGCCCGCAGAGAAGGCUCGAAAAAAAUGGACCCCAUCUGGGAAGGUCCUUACAAGAUCAACAGAGUCGGCGGCAAAGGCAGUUAUACUCUUGCUACCAUGAAUGAUAAAGAGAUCGAGAAGCAAUGGAACGCCUACAAUUUGAGGAAAUACCAUGUGUGACUUCACACUAUAUCAAGACCCGAAGACUCGAGCAUCUCAACGGUCACCACCUCGUAAACCGAGGACUAUCCAAUCAUCAUGCAGUUUUUGCAACCAAGUUAUUCGCUCAUUUUAUUUUUCAAUAAAGAAUUCAAAAGUAAUUUGUAAUUUGGCUUUAAUAUAUGUCUACAACAACUUAUUUCUUUCUGCAUUUCAAAAGAAAAUUACACCCCCCAAGGGACCAACUGUGCUCUCCAAGGAGGGAGGAUAAACUCAACACUCCGAAUAUCCAGACGUGGAUGAGCUUGGCUGCCCUAGAAUGACUAGGUGCAUGAUGGCUUGCGCCGGGAUUCCUAGAAGUAGCCACAAUGGUCUGUUUCAAGGCUUAGCUAGUUGAAGGAUUAUGGGUCUAUCGGCUUAAUCCGCAGGGAACCGGGCCCUAGAUACGGAGGGGGCACAUUAUGCAGCACACCCAAUGGGCGGCUGCCCUGGAAACCUAAAGCUGCUACCGAGUGCACUAAGGUAGCCUACGGAUUUCCAGAAGACUGCCUACGGCUUGCCCUUCGAGCAGUAGAACCACGCUAGACUUAUGCAACCGCACAUUAUUGUGAAAGGUUAAACAAGUUAGCGUGCACACACGAAGAUUUUAUCCACUACCGACAUGCUACGUAGUUGAUAAGCUUCACCUCUGUCAAACGCAGAAUAACUUAUACCAAAUCCUAAAGUGUUGUGAUACUUGCUACACGGCCUACGGAAUUGGAAAAAUCCAAGGUUGAAUAACCAAGUGGUUACGCGGAUUCGUCUGCUUCUGUAAGUAAGGCAUCCGGCUGCCAACCCUAUGGUUAAUAACUUUGCAGAAGUUUCUACAUCAACACCUACGGUUGCAUAGGCUAUGUGGGCCUGUCUACUUAUAGAAAAGUAGCACGCCUGCCACUGGCUUAUAUAAGGUCUAAAGGUUAAAAAAAAAAAUGGGAAAAGCAAAAGAAGCGAGUUUAUUAAAUUUUAUAGCAAAAUUGAUAAACAACAAGCAAAUACCAAAAGAGUUCAAGCAAAAGCAACAAAGGAAAGAAAAGGAAACCCUAAAAGCUACCUAGAAGACUACUCUUCGGUAGUUUGGACAUCUCCCAACUGCUCGGUUGUUACACCUUCAGCAGCCUUGGUGUUCUCAGCAGCGGCAUCCUCCGGACCUUUACCCUCGACUGUUCCAGCCUGGGUAUCAACUCCUCCAGCUAUUUCACCGAUAGAAGACUCAAAGGUAAAAUCGAGCAAGUCUUCUGGGGAAAUAGAGAAGGUCUCGAAGUCUUUACCGGAAAACUCAAAGUCAGACGGCCGCCCAUAGAGAUGAUCUACAUAGCCCAGCUUGUAGAAAUCAGAUUGGUUCUGAAUAAGCGAAGCCUCGAAACCAUUUUUCUCACUCUUCAACUGCUCAUUCUCCUCAAACAGGCAAGCACGAACUCGCUGCAACUCCUCAAUUUCUUUCUUAAGAUUGUCGUUGGUCUUCAAAACACCUUGAAGUUCCGACACUUGAGGCUCAAGCCUGUCAGCAACCUCUUUGAAGUGGAUCGCUUGGUUGUAAGUAGCAAUCAAUUCUUCAUCCUUUGCAUAAGCAGCGGAGCGAAGUUCAGAUAUGGAGCGUUCAAGAUCUCGAAUCUGAGGUAUGUAACGCUCGAUUUCCUUCUCUGCACUUUCAUUCUUUGUUUGGACCGCAUCAAACCUAGUCUUCAAAUCCAUGAUCUCCUGGUGAGCGGCCUCAAGCUGCUGAGAAGUGGGGUCAGAAGUAUGAGAUUCCUUCAAAGCAGCAAGCUCAGAUUCCAAUUUUUUGAUUUUUUUCAACCGAGGAAUAAGCUUCGGCAGCCAUAGUUCUUGCCAUCUCUUUAGCAGCCUUGGUGUCCUCUUGGUCAAGGAACAUAGACUCGGCUGCCAGAAUUGUUGUUUUCUGCAUCAUGGCUAGCAGAGCAGUCUUCCUAUACUCGGGUGUAUGCUUUGCAAAAAAGACUCGGACCAACAAUCUCUUUGACGCCAUCAACAAACUGGGCGCAUACAUCCAUGUCUUCAAGAAGAUCUGGUUUCAAAAGAGCACAAAUCUUAGCAGCCUCCUCAGAAACGGCCUUGGCGGAUUCUUCAAGCCUGCCUGAGCGAGCAGCUUCAUUCUUAUCAGCAGACGAGAUGGUUGCAGCAGCGGAAGAAGCAGUAUUCGGCGCCACUUUAGCAGACAGGGGCACCUUAUCACUCUUCAUCAUAGUAGCAAGUCUCUCUUCAAGGGUAAGUCAGGUUUAGUCCCGGACGGACGUUUUGGCACAAACUUCGGUACCAAAGGCACGGAAGAACUUUUACGCUGAGCAAUUUUUUUCAGCAAUCGAGCUAGCAGCCUUCGAAGCAAUAGGCGUUACUGGCACAAAUGUAGCAGUUCGUUCUUUCUCGCCCUUAGAGGAAGUCAGGUCAAUCACAAUCUUGGGAGCAGCCGGAGAAUCCCCACGAGCAGUCUUCAUUUUCUUCUCAGCAGGUAUCUCUUGAGCAGGCGGGGAAUGUUUCUUUUUCCCACCUUCAUUGGUAGUAGGCUCCACCACAGUGAUAGGACGAGCCAUCGCGUCUGCCUUGAUCCGUUUUAUUUCUUCUUCUGGGGGUAGUCCACCUUUUUCCCUACGAAGAGGACUAAGCAGCCAACGCCACUCACGAUACUCGGAAGGAAUACCCAGAGCGACAUGCACUUUUUUCAUAUCUGGAGAAACCCUAGGAGUUGAGCCAAAUUCCGAAUCUACAAAAAAAAAAGAAAAAAAAAACAGAAGACAAUCAGAAAAUUGAAGAAUGAUUUGGCACUAAAGCAAAGCAGCCGAAAAAGACUAAGCAGUCUGCUUACCAGAUAUGAAGACCGUUGAUACACGCAGCUCGGGAGAAGAAUCAGAUUCCCAUUCUCCACUUAUCUCCAAAGUCUCUUUGGCCCAAUCAUGAUCUCCUUUACUCGAAUUAUCAAAAAGCUUAUGACGGAUUCGCAGUUGUCCAACUCCAUCAAUACGACCUAUGUCAAAGAAAUACCAAAAUUCGUUGGUGGUUAGUCCCAAGUCAAAGAAUUGGUUCAAAUUGUGGAACCCCACCAUCACUCGGACCGCAUUCGGGGAACAUUGGGCAGGCGCACAUUUCAUAGAGCAAAGCACUUCUUGGAAGAAAACGCGGUAUAGGGAAAGUAAACCCUAACACAAAAUAGUAAGGAUGGAACUUGAUAGUUCUCCGAGUUCCACUGCAUGGUUCUCGGCUGCUACCAUCUUUAACUCGUCUCACACGCACUCCCGACGGAAUGGCAUGCCAAUACGUUUCAAGAAAAUCUCUAAACAAAUUGUCGGAGCUAAUCUUGAUGUGAGCAGCUUUGAAGUAGCCAAUCUUGCUCAAAGACCCGCCUUGACGGUACAGCGGGGGCACACCAUCAUCAUUCUUACGGCUCGAGGAAGACAUGCUUGAAAAUUCUACAAAAGUACAAGGAAGAUUUGUUAGAGAGUUGUUAAAAAAAAAAAAAAAAAAGAAAAGAAACAGCUCUCGGCAGCAAAAAAAAAAAAAAAAAAAAAAAAAAAAAAGAAACAGCUCUCGGCAGCAAAAAAAAAAAAAAAAAAAAAAAAAAAAAAAAAAAAAAACAAGAAUUAGGCUUAAAGCCGCAGGACCAGCAAACCUGCCAGGCCCCACGGCCUGGCUUGCUUCAACGCCCAGCAAGAAAAAAAUAUAUAUAUUUUCAUGGCAUUACCAUGCCAUGGUUCACCAGAUCAACCUAUAACAAGUCUCUGAUUCCCAUCAGGCCAAGAAUCAAGAUCCAAAGAUUCCAGAAAAUCAAGAAGACAAGAAAAAUAAUUUUUUCUUACUUGGAAGCAACGAAGAGCGAUCCUUUACACGGGCAAGACGUAGAAGAUUGCUAGAGGAGGGGGAACAAAUAUCCUCUAAGCUCUCUUUUUCUCUUGUAAGGAUGAAUAAGUUUCACUCUAAAAGUUGAUUUAACAAUCCACUUAAGGUGGACUUAAAUAAGCUUUGGGGAAAUUUAUUUCCUUUUCCUAGAAGGAUUUAAUUUCCUAUUGAAAGAAAGAAUCAACAACAAAAUAGGAAACAGUUCAGAAUUUCCUAAAGCAAGAAAAUCUCUACACCUAUUGCCCUUUUCUGCAAACAGCUCAACAGGUGUGGGGGCAUUUGUGGAGCCAAAAAUAUUCACUAGGCGACACGUGGAUUUGUGAACGAAAGAGGACAAAAAUACCCUUGAGGUAUAUCGGGAUUCCUACGCGCAAGUAGUGGGUAAUCAUCCUCAACCAAUUCAAAAAUGCUCCAGAAGAGGUAACUAAUUCCAAAUUAUCUUAUUUUAGGUAAUUAUUUCCAAAACUUAAUUUCCCUAAUAUAUUAUUUAGUUAAUUAAUUAUCUAAAUAAUAUAUUCUUCCCAUAUCUCCUAAAAUCAUCCCUUAAUUACCAAUUUGAAACAUCCACUCAAACCUAAAAAAAUGGGAUAGGGCCGGCUACCCCAUUCAAAGUCUAUUCCAUCACCUUUUUUUCUACCUUUUCCACCUUUCCUUCCCUUUUAAAUUAGCCAAUCAAUACCAUAAAUAAUAAAAUAUCUCCUUUCAUAUUUAAUUAGCCAAUUAAUUGGCUAAUUAAACCUAAAAUUAAACCUAAAAAUCCCAUAGUAACCGGCCACAUUCCCUCCCAUCUUUUCCCUACCUUUUUUUUUUAUUUUCCUCCACUUUAUUACUCAAAUAAAGCUAAUCAUUUAAGACCCCAUUCAUUUCUAUUUUAUUAGCCAAUAAAGGGGCUAAUAAAAAACCACAAAUUGACUAAGAAAAGGGAAGGGUGUGGCCGGCCCUUCCUUGGUGAAAAAUGGGGAAGCCUAAUCCUAUAAAUAGGCUCCUAUUCUCACCAAAAAUUCAUUCCAAACCUCUUGCAAAAAUUCCAAAACACUCUAAACACUAUUUCUCUCUAAAUUUCUAACUUUGGCAUCGGAGGUUCUUCGGCCAAAGCCCCCCCCCAUUCAUCGUGGGCGCGUGAGGCUUUUGGCCUUAACCUAAGGUGCUAGUUGUUUUGUAGGUGCAAAAUCGUCCAAGAUCGAAGAGGAGAAAAUUUGCAUCCACAACAACGAGCAGGAGCAGCAGGGCGACGAUGAGAUAUCCCGGUCGACGGCGAGAUCGGGUGGUGACGAAAGACCUCCAUGAGGAGCAGAGGGAUUAGAGAGAGAGAUAUGCAGUGGUGAUGGGGAAAGGGCGGCGUUGAUCUGGGAAAAGAGAAGGAAGGGGAGGUGAAGAGAGUGAAGAAGAGGGAGAAAUGGGUCGGGGAUUUAUGGGUUUCUGUUUUUCUGUUUUUUGUUUUUCAAAUAGAAUUGGGGGUUUCAGGAAGGUGAGGGGUGGGGUGGGGGAUUGUAGUGGAGGUGGAGGUGGAGGUGGGCGUGGGUAGGUUAGGGGGCUGCAGGGAUGGAUGGGUUUCAAGGUUUUUUUUUAUUUUUUUUAUAAUAAUUUAGAAGAUUCAGAUUUUUUUUAAAUUAAAAAAAAAAAUUUACCACGUGGCACACAUUUGGCAGCCACGUGGCACAAAUGUGGCAGCUACGUCAGCACUUAACGGAUCAAUGGACGGAAAAUCUAACGGAUGUAUUAUUUUGAAAUAAAAUGGUACAUGAUGUAUGAAAAUGAAAUGUUUUAAAGACGUUGUAUGGGAUUGUAAUAGAUCUCAAACCUGAGAGGCUACUAUGUAAUUUACCCUAAUUUUUAUUACGUGUGAAAAAUUUAUACUAAUUUUUCGGCGCAUGCUGAACCGUUAAAUCUAUUAGCGUAUGAUUAUGUAAUUUGGAAAAUUUGGAUUUUUAGUUUACUAGUGUGAUUCAAGACAGAUUUUAUAACUUCAAUAUUUAGUAAGUGAUUUGAGUGAGCUGUAUUUGCUAGUUUUUAGCUUAUAACUAAUACAACUUUCAAAUCUUGGAAGACAUCUUCUUUAUUUAGAGAUUGCCCAAGAGCAAGGAGCAUUUGAGAAUCGAUGGGAAUGACUACACUACACAGGUACAACUCUCCUUUAAUCUUGGCGUCACAGCUUUACUGAUGGCUAUUUCGAAAUCCAAGUUACUGUAUUUUGAACAAAUUCGGUGGAGUAGUGUUUUUGUUUUUACCUUCGAAUGUAUGGAAAUAGAAGAAUAAACAACUCUUUGAAGACAACUUCUUUUCGACAAAGGUGUUCAGUUACCAUUUUCGUUCACUGCUUAAUUUGUUAUACUAUGCUUCGUCCCCAAAAUUCGUCAUCUGAAGUAAUCUCAAGUUUUCAACUUCAUGAUUGGAUUUGAUGGUGGGGCGUUGAGAUGCAGUGAAUAUGUGACAUUAAAGUUGGGGAUGCAAGCCAUACGGUUGGUCAGAUACAGAUAUGCUAAUAGUAUUAGCAACCAAAUUUUUGCUGCAACAGUUCCAUUUUUUCAGAUGGAAAGUCUGACUAGCGUAUUUAUAAUUUGAUCUUUUGUAGGGUGGUGGUUCCGGCACCCAACAAAUUGUGAUCGAAGGCUCCUUAUGUGAUGAUUAUUACAAGAUUCGGGAAUAUCUCUACUCACUAUUUUAUUUGCUUUAAGUAGAGAUACAUAAUAUCUAACGCCUUUGGGUGAACCAUCAUUUGAUGCGGUGUUAAUUUCCAGUGAUUUUAGGGUACACAGUAAAGUUUAAUUUAAAUAUAAGACUUAUUUUCCGUUGAAGUUGUCAUUUUGUUCAUGCAAGAUGGAAAUCUUUUUCAGGAAUCAGGAAACAAAGCAUGUUUGAAGGGUUAGACACCCAAUUGUCAUGUUGUCCUCUUAUACCAAGUCCCACACGGGUUAAAUUCAAAUAGCACCAAGACAUUAAUGCGGAUGAAGCUUUUAACGGAAAAGAUUUUUUUUUUUUUUAAAUGAGGAUUAGUUGUGGGGCCCAUAUCAUAUCAAAGUUUAACGAUCCGAAUAGUUUAUUUUUCAAGUUACACCUCUUAGAUCAUCUUUGCAAAAUAUUAGUUAAAUCGAAAAUAUUUUGAUAUCUAAUUGAGUUCAAAUAAAUUGACGAACCCUUUUGUCUAUAAGAAACAAUGAAAUUUCAAUGAGAUAAUUAAAUAGGCAAGUGGUUUCGGAUUGAAUUGAAUUUUGCAAGGAUGAUGUAUGAAUCGAGACUUACAAAAUAGACGGCACGAAUCGUUAAAUUUCAAUGUAGAGUGGAUCCCACAACUAAUCCUUAUUUCUUAAAAAAAAAAACGAUGAUACAUCCCUUAAAUGGCAUGUACCUACGAAAACAAAACAUAACAAACAAAUUACAGUUAGACAUUUCAACUUUUUCACAUGACAAUAUGCAGUUGAGUUUGGAUAAUGCCGCAAAACUGGCAAGUAAAUUACACAAUGCCAUGCAUUUUAGCUUCUUAACGAAGGGUAAUGUUAGAGAGACUAAAUUGGAAAACAAAAUUUGCAAACUAAGGGGGGUGUAGUCAUAAUAGGAUUUGAUAGGAUUUUAAUAGACUUUAAAAUCAAGGUGUAGUCAAUUACAAUUUUAAAAGAUUUAGAAAUCAUGGUGUAGUCAAAGUAAGAUUUAAGAGGAUUUUAAAGAAUACAUCCAUAUCCAAUGGUAGUCAAUUAAGAUUUUAAAGAAUACAUAUAAAUCCAGAGUUAGUGAGAAUGCAAAAAAUUUGAUAGGAUUUGAAUGGGAGGGGAUUUUGAUGGAUUUAAAGGUGGAUCGUAUAUAUACCAAAUGCUAUCAAGAAUCCUACCAUCCCCCAUCUGAUUUCUUUUCACGUCGGCAAACAGAAAAGAACCUCCCAACCCCUUCAUCUUCAUCUAUACCUUCCUCUUCGGAACACAUCUCAUCGUCCUCUUCGACUUCGAAUUCAUCGUCUUCAUUCUCAUCUAUCAUGGAUUUUUUUUUUUCUUUCAAAUUCUACUUGUAAACAACUAUUGGGUUCUGGCAAGUUCUCUAUUUUCUCAGAAAAGGAAUAGUAUUCCUCCAUUUUUUGCCCUACCUGAGAUCCGAUGGUUCAAUAUUUUUUUAACAUAUCGCUGGAAUCAGUUUUUUUCUCCCAUGUUCUCCUCGCACGAAACCGAUUUUCAAUGGAAAAUUGCCUCAAAUCGCCAAAAUUAUCUCCAUUACCCCAAACCCACAUAACUUGCAGAAGCUCAAUGAGUUCGGCGCUGGGGAAGUGGAGCUUGCCGAAAAUUAAUGAAAUGUGGUUUCUAAUGUUAUGCUUGGUAGGUACUUGAAGGGCAGGAAGCUAGAGUGUGCAUUGAAGUUUUGGAAAAUGAUGAGCAUGGGAUUGAAAAUGAAUGGAACUACCAUGGUGAAUAUUUUUGCUACUUGCAGCUUGUGGUCAGUCUGGUAGACUGAGAAGGAAGGUUAGACACACUACUACAAAAGAGGCUAUCACUGGCGAAGCAAAAACCGACAAGAACUUCAAUUUCUGUUAGAAAUUUGGUAAAAAUCCGACAUAAAACCAUGCAAUGUUGGAUUGGAAUAGCGACAUCAUUGCUAGCAUCACGAAAGGGCUUCAAUGUCAGCUUGUCAGCUUAAUCCGCCAUGAAGCAGCGUCGGUUAAAAGUGAUAUCGAACUUUACGUCGGUUAAAAACGACGUGCUAUUCUAACAUGAUGGCGGUCAUAGUCAACAUCAAGUAGCAAUUAAACUAUAAAAUAUCCAACCCACUGUCAGUUUUAACCAACAUCAGCUAACAAUUAAAUAAAUAAAAUAUGCAAACUUAUUUGCUUUCGUUUUCAAUUAAUAAAUAUAUAAAAAGAUCUGACUUUGCUUUCGUUUUCAAUUAAUAGUAAUUAAAAAAAUUAUAUAAAAAUAAUAAUAAAUUUCAUUUAUGGGCCAAAACAAAUUCUUGCCUCUUCCGUUUUCAAUGAACCAUACUAAUGGUCUUAACAUGCUUCUUCCGCCUUAUUUAUAUGUCAAUGAAAACAAUUUUAAGCAAACUUCAUAUUAAAAAUAAAAUUUCUAAGAACUAUAUAUUAAAUUGAAAAUUAAUAACAUUUCUUAAAAAUGUACAACACAUACAAAUUCUUGCCGCACUUUAUUCCAGUAUGCCACCAACUCAACCCAUUGUGCAGCAUUCACAUCAGGAGGAGGGUGGCUGCACACCACGGCUGCUCUCUUAGUAUAAUACGGUUUUUAAAACUUAUUUCUAUACUCUUUGUGCGUAUGCUCUGCAACCUAAAGAUCAUGUAGCGGAUCAUAGGCAUUUUUGCUAUAUCUUCAUCUUCAAAAAAAAUAUUCCCUACAUCCAUAAAAAAAUCAAGCUAAUUAAUAAUUAUUAUAAUCAUUGACUUAUUCUUCUAUUUUCAAAUUUAAAAAAAAAAUAUAUAUAUAUAUAUAUAUGCCUUUAUCCUAUUCCAGAAAACUUCCUUAUCUUGUUCCUUAAUCUUACGUCAAUCACUCAUCAACGGGAGAUUUUUGUAAUCUCUAACCUCCCACUACAUAUUUUGAAAAGGCACUAGAAAUAUCACUAAUGCAUUUUCUAGACGAAUCAAACGAACAAAGUUGUUUUGUCCAUUUGGGAAUUGAGGGUCCGCGCCUCUGUUGAGAUGUUCCUUAUUCAUACAAAAAAAAAACAAUUAAAAGCCAAUAAACAAAAGUAAAUUUUCAAUUUAAGCAUAAUACUAGUUUAAACACAAAACAAAAACUGAAAUUAAUAAUAAUUCAAAAAUGAACUAGCUUCGAACUCUUCCUCUUCGAAAUGGAGUUCCUCAUAAUGUUGAUCUUCACUUUGUUGAUCUAUAGCAAAAGUUAGUGGAAGGAGAAUGAGUAAGGCUGAAAUGGAGGAAAGAGAGGGAGUAAGGACGCACGAGCGCAAAACUAAAGAAGUAAACGAGAUAAAGCGAAAUGAAAGCACGGAAGUAAUAGGGAAGAAAUGGGUUUAAAUAUGGAUAAUAAGUUGGCGUCGGUUAAGACCGAUAGUGGUUGUAAAUGACGUCGAAAUAUGUACACUUUGCGUCGGUAAAAACCAACAUCUACUCUGACACACUAACUAAAAUGCACGUGGCGUCGAAAUAUUUGGACUUCACGUCGAUUAAAACCAACACUAAGUCUAACACGACUUAAAUGCACGUAGUCUGACACACUUGACUGAAAGGCAACUGGCGUCGAAAUAGGAAAAAAUUGUGUCGGUUAAAACCGACGUGAGCCUGACAGACUUGACAAUGAUUGCAAGUGGCGUUGAAAUAAGAAAAUUUUACGUCGGUUCAAACCGACGUGAGCCUGACAGACAUGACAGUGAUUGCAAGUUGCAUGGAAAUAAAAAAAGUUGCAUCGGUCAAAACCGACGUGAGCCUGACAAACUUGAUUGUGAUUGCAAGUGGCGUCGAAACAAACGUGAAAAUUCCCGCCCAAAAUAUUUCAAUUUAACACGGGGGAGAGUAUAUAAAGGUCAUCAAUCUAUCACUUAUAACUGACACUGGAUUUCAAAAUAUUUAAAAAACUUAAAAUAUAUGUUGGUCAGAACCGACGCAGGCUUUAAAAUAUUUAAAAACAAUCACUAGUGUCGGCUAGAAGCGACACCUACUCCAACACCAACUUUAUGUCGCUUAAAAUUGACACAGUUUUUUUUAAUGCAACACCAGUAUUUAAAAAUUAUUAAAAUCUAUGUCAGUUAUAAGCGACAUUAACGAGCUAGGGUGUGAGCCAUAUCUUAGCUAUAGAAAUAAAUUCUACAACCAAGAUAUGGUGAAAAAUUAAAUUAAAUUAUAAAGACUACACAUACAUUAGAUAACAAAAUCUUACAAAAAAAUUAUCAAAUAUGCAGAGGAAUAACUAUAGUGCACAAAUUAAUUCACAACAAAAUAAUAAUUAAAUUGUAACAAUUCUUUCAAAUGCAUGAAAUAUAUGCAAAUGGAAUGGAUGAAUGUACUUACUCCCUUCUAAUCCCGUCAACACAUACCUAAAGCACCCAAGCAUGCACGUCUCAUACCAUGCUUAUACCAUUUGGCUCCGAAUACCUUAUAAUAUGAGUUAACUCCCGUUCAUCCCUUAACCCAAUUUUUGUAAUUAAACUCUCAGUUUCCACUUUAUUAAACAUGCAUUCCCCCUGACGCCUGACAUAUACAAGAUUUCAUUAUUUUAUAAUAAAUCAAUUUGUAUACUCAAGCCCUGCACCCUACGCCUGACAUAUACAAGGUUCAUUAUUUUAUAUUCAAGGCAAACUUCAGCCCUUGAAUAGCCUCACAACGCAAACACUUUACAAACUCAACACAACUCUUUUUCUUGUUUUGCAAUGCAUAUGUAUAUGCCAUGUUCACAGAGAUAUCAAUACUCACAUUUUCUUUAACAAGCCUGUAAGUUUCAACAUAAAUCAAAUUGAUUAGUAACAAGAGUAAUAUAAUCAUAAUAUUAACAAAAUAAUAAUCUUUGAUGUAAAUGAUAAGCAAUAUAUUACCAUUUCUUCAUUUUGUCGAUCCUCCUUUUCCAUUAUGUUUCUAUUUAAUAACUCAGUGUUUAAAUGGUUUGCUCAACUCAAAUUUAUUGCAAUUAGACAAAGGAACACGGAGAUUUAAGUGGCUCACCAAUUUGGCUACGUCCACUAGGGUUGCAUAUGCAUUUAUGUUUUCACUAUGUAAGAGAGAUUUACAAAAAAAAAAAAACAAUGAAGAUGGCCUAGAGCCUUUACAUAAGGUAAAAGAAAAGGAUGGUGGGAAGAGUGGUAUAUGAAGAAGAUGAGGUUUUGUUUCUUUUUCCCCGUGUGUUGUUGAUGAUGUUGUGUGUUGUUCUUCUCCCCGUUUCUCUCCUCCCUUUGCUUUUAUGGAUGAAGAAAUGGAAUCCUCCAUUAAGCCUUAAUGACAUGUUUCACUUUGUUUUGCAAUACUUGGACAUCUUGUAAUUGGAAGCAAUCAUUCCCAUGCAUGUGGACAAAUACUCAAAAACCACGUUCAAAGUCUAAGGAUUAUGAAUCCCACAUCUCCAAUUUUGGAGGGGAUGAAUCAUCACCAAAGAUUUAACUCUUACAUUCCUAAUUAUUACAAACUUGCCAACUCACUCUCAUGUAAACUUCCACCUCUUCACCCUAAUCAUUAACUUCUAUUAAUUAUCACCUCCACCUCAUCCUUGGGAGAAAAAUGAAUCAAGCAAAAACUACUCAAAUAAUCCCACCUUAAGCUCGGCUAUAGCAAUGAUAAUUGCCAUUAGCAAGUAAAAACAACUUUUAAGGCCUACCAAAAACAAUCUAAUACAUGUAUAAGUUACCUACAAAAUUACAAAACUACAAUGAGGAUGGCAAACACUAGAAACCUCUCUAGUUAGAGAAAUUUGAGUUUAAAAGUACAAGCUAGGCUUAGAUAUAUUCUUGUAGUGAAGGAAUCCCUACUAACUUACAUGUCGAAAAUACAAGUUCUUGUACCUAUAAUAUAUAAAAUGAAAUUAAAAAAAAUCAUUACAUUUGAAAUAGAUAUAAGUACUUGCACACACAUUUAUAUAACCAUUUAUUUAUUUUUAAAUACGGGGUAUUACAAGACCCAUAAGUGAACACACAUUGGAACAUUGGAGUUGUUUGAGUCACAACAACUGCAUGAUUUCAUUAAAAAUGAUCUGACAGCUCUGCGUGUGAUUUUCAAUUUUUUCAAAAUCCUAAUAUGUCACAGCCCGUUCCGAGAUUAUAUAAAUAUUGGGGACUUGAAAUGACAGAAUUACCCUUAGAGGGUAUUAAGGUAUGUAUGUGUGUAUGUUGGACAUAUUUCCUUCAUUCCUAAACUUUUGGAAACAAAUUAUUAAGUGGGAUUUAAAAUGUUGGAUUGUUUGUGUGGUUAGGGAACUAGGAAGAGAAAUGAAUGGUCAUGAUUUGUGAGGGAACACGCACACAUUUCCUUCUCUCUCACUCACCCUGUGUCUCUCUCUCUCUCUCUCUCUCCUCCUUUACGGAUCUCUCUCACUCUCUUUCUCUCGAAUUGUACGGCCACACCCAAGGACUCUCUAAACAUCACGGAUUGAAGCUAACAAGGUAUGGUUCUUCAUCAUUUUGACGUUCUGAGUUGAAUGGUACUAGUUUUAGGAAGUGAAACCCUCAAAAUCAUCGUGAAACCCUAACCCCAAAAUUGUGCACUGUUCAUGCACACGUAAAAUCUUGCAUUUCAGGAAAUUCUAAUCUUAUAGUAAGCUUAGUGAGGUCCCAAGGAAUUUCGGAGUGCUUCGUUUGAAGGUUUUGGACGUCAGGAUCGUCGGGUUCGAAGUUGGCCGAAUUGGAGGAUUUUCCCGACGAAAUUUCAGAGGUUUUUAAAGGUAUAGAUCCCUUCCCCUCUUAAUUUAGAGCUCGUAGGUGAAAAUUUCAUGAAAAAUGGUGAAGAAACGAGUGAGAAAGGUCGAGUUGCAGGUUUCCGGCGCCGGCGACACUGUGCUGGCGACGCGAGGAAGAAGAAGCGCGCGUGGGGGCGCGUAGGUCCGUGCCACCCACGGCGCGUGGGGCUGCGUGGAAAACCCAAAAAUUUUUCUAAAAAUUUGUCGACGUCUAUGACGUCGAGUAGGUCGAUGUGGUAUAUUCACAUACCCAAAUUGAGCACCGUAUGAGAAGUUAUUUCGAAUUGUUGAUUAUGUGUUUUAAUUAACGUUUCUAUAGUUGUUUUGCAUAUAGGUGACACCUAUCCCGAGGACGAGCGCAUCCAAGGACGUCACGGGGGUUACGACCAAUCGACUUACCAGUGAGUGGGCAGUUUUUGUUUUCGUAUUACCUAUAUACUAUUGAUUUUUUUCCCAUAAAAUGAAUUUAUAUGAAAAUACGUUUUAAAAUGCCAUGCAUGCAUAUUAUGAGAUAUUUGAAUUGAUAAUUGAUGCAUAUAUAUAUAUAUAUAUGAAUUGAUGUUGUGGACGCACAGGUGAGUGUUACAUUAUUCAUACGAUUUAUUUUAUGUGAAUUGCAUUGAAAGCUCAUAACUUGCACCCUUGGUGUUAGUGCUUAUAUUAUUCACUGCACCGCACGCUCGCCUUGGAUCCAAGUAGGUGAAUGUCAUACAUACCAUGUGAGGGUUCCGACAUGCUAGUCGUAUAGAUCGCUAGAGGUGAUUCCGACUAGUGGGUAACCUUAGUUUAUGCGUGCCGAUGAUUGAUGAGAGAAGCACUAGAGCAUAUUCUUACACCUUUCCAUCGUACAGACUACCUUACGUAGUUCCGAGUGACGUGCAGAGUAGGGCCGUAUAGGUCACUGUGGUGACUCCGGCUAGGGGGAAUACUGAGCUAUAGAAUUAGCCGUACAAGACCAUUGUAGGGUCUCCGGUUAUUUCAUUAUAUCACCUGUCAUAUUGAUGCAUCCAUAUUUUUAAUCAUUGACAUUAUUGCUUGGCAUAAUUACUGGAUUUUGAUAAACUUGAUGCUUUGAGCAAUUUGAGUAAAUAUUAUGCUACUAUGUUAUUUUUUGGGAAAGUAUACAGGUUUUACAGAGAGGGGUUAGAAAUGUUUUAAAUGAAAUGUUUUGGAAAAUCUUUGGUUUUACUGACCCACUCAACUUUGUUUUGCGCCCCUCCAGGUUCUAGUUAGCAGUUGGUGGCUCACGAGGUCCUUUUCGGCGUUCUGAUAGACGUCCUGCAUGUAGGACUCACCUGCGGGUGUUGUACUUUUAAUUAUAGUCCUACUUGACUGCACCUAGUAUCUACGCUCUGAAAUUGUGUGUUUUACUUUGUAACCUCACUCUAGUAUGCUAGUUGGUUAUUACUGCUAGUGGUUGGUUUAAAUUCCUUCAUAUUUCUCAUAUCUUUUGUUUCCGUGUCGCACUUUUGGCUACGUCACGCUCACGUGACGGCCAGCACGUCUUGAUUCUAGGAUUGGGGUGUGUCAUAAUAAAUCUAUGGAAGAAAUCUAUACAAAUCCACAAAAAUCAUAAUGAAAAUCCAUAUAAAUCUUCUAAAAUCCAUAGAGAAUUAUAAAGUCUAUUAAAAUCCUUUGAAAUCUAUCACUAAAAAAAAUUCAUUAAAAUUCUCUGAAAUCCAAAUUGACUACACCCCUAAAUGAUGUGUCACAAAUAUAAAUGAGUACGUUUAUCAACGCUUAAAUAAUAAACUAAUUAACAACUUCUAUGUUUUUGUUUUCAAAAUUUUAUUUGAUAAAUUUAAUUUCUAUAGCGUUACUCUUUAACAAAACAAUAUGUGAUUGCCCGGCCCAUGACUAGAUUUCGAAGUCAAUGUCAACGUUCGUCAGCAAUUACAUCACUCCAAAAUUUCUGAAAAAUCGAAGUAUGAGUUUUCUUGCUCCACGAGGACAGAAAGGGAUCCUUCCAUCUGAGCCAACCAGGCAUAAAAUCUAAAUCUUUAAAAUUUAAUCUUACGAUUAAAAUUAUUAUAAUUUUUAAUAUUUUUUUUUAUUUUUAAUCGUUAUAUCAAAUUUUAAGUGUUUAUAUUUUUUGCUUAGUUAGAAGGAAUCUGAAGAUUAUCCUUUCCCACCCUACAUUAUCCAACUCUCUAUAAAAUAUAGAAAAUAAUAAUUUAUUAAGCAAAGGCAUUUGCCCAUCGUCUGAUUGCUGACGAUUCACUAUGGAAACCUGGUUCCUUAUCCUCACCGCCCUCUGCGUCUCCUUCCUCCUCAAAGCCCUUCUUUCUCUAUUCCUACCCACUUCCAUCUCCAAACCCAAGCCCCCUCCUGGGCCCCGCUACAUCCCCAUCAUCAGCACCUUGUUAUUCCUCCUCAAAUCCUUCUCGGAGCUCGAGCCUAUCAUCCGCAAACUACAGGCCAAACACGGGCCCAUCAUCUCCCUCCGCUUCGGCUCCCGCUCCGCCGUCUUCAUCGGCGACCGCUCCCUCGCCCACCAAGCCUUAAUCCAGAACGGUGCCGUGUUCGCCGACCGCCCCCGGGCCUUGGCCACCAACGAGUACGUCAGCAGCAACCAGCACAACAUCAGCUCCGCCCGAUACGGCCCCACUUGGCGCCUCCUCCGCCGCAACCUCACUUCCGAAAUCCUCCACCCUUCCCGCGUCAAAUCAUACGGCAACGCCCGCAAAUGGGUUCUCGACAUCCUAGUCAACCGCCUCAAAACCGAGUCUCAAUCCCAGUCCGAAUGCGGCGGCGGCGGUGGUGUCAGGGUGGUCGACCACUUCCAAUACGCCAUGUUCUGCCUCCUGGUUCUGAUGUGCUUCGGUGACAAAUUGAACGAAGAGCAAAUCAAAGAAAUCGAGCGCGUUCAGCGCCAACAACUUUUGAGUUUCGGGCGGUUCAACAUCCUCAAUUUCAAGCCGAAAUUGACCAAGAUUCUCUUAAAAAAUCGGUGGCGGCAAUUCUUCAAAAUCCUCGAGGAACAACGAGAAGUGCUCGUCCCUCUGAUUCGAGCACGACAAAACAGGGCAAAACAGGGCAGCAAAAACGAUGACAAAGACGAUGAAUUUGUGUUGUCGUACACUGAUACGCUGCUGGACCUCGAGCUUCCCGACGGCAACGAAAAGCGGAAGCUUUCGGAGGGAGAAAUGGUCAGCCUCUGCUCAGAGUUUCUGAACGCCGGCACCGACACGACUUCCACCGCACUGCAGUGGAUCAUGGCCAACGUAGUCAAGUACCCACAAGUUCAGGAGAAGCUGUUUGCGGAGAUUAAAGGGGUUAUGGGGGAAACGGAGGAGGAGGUGCGGGAGGAGGUCCUGCAUAAGCUGCUGUAUCUGAAAGCCGUGAUCUUGGAGGGGCUGAGGCGCCACCCGCCGGGGCACUUUGUGCUGCCGCACGCGGUGACCCAUGACGUGGUUUUGGGCGGACACCUGGUGCCCAAGACGGGGAGUGUUAAUUUCAUGGUGGCGGAUAUAGGGUGGGACCCGCAAGUGUGGGAGGACCCCAUGGCGUUCAAGCCGGAGAGGUUCUUGGGCAGCGGCGGAGAAGAAGAAGGGUUCGAUUUGAUGGGGAGUAGGGAGAUUAAGAUGAUGCCGUUUGGGGCAGGGAGGAGGUCCUGUCCUGGGUCUGGAUUGGCGGUGCUUCACCUGGAGUACUUUGUGGCGAAUUUGGUGUGGAAAUUCGAGUGGAGAGCUAUGGACGGAGAUGACGUGGACCUGUCUGAGAAGCAGGAGUUUACUAUGGUGAUGAAGAAUCCAUUGCAAGCCAACUUAAUCCCAAGAAGUUGAUGUGUGCGAGAAUUCUGUUUUAAUUCUUCGACGCAUGUUUAGCUGUUAAACUCG
rnacentral:lncRNA from 1 species